CAGCUGGUACCUGAGUUUUUCCCACCGGCUCAACAACAUCUGGUAUCUGCUCCUCAGCUGGAGAAACUACUGGCUCCGCAGGUGCUGCUCUACCUGUAGUACAAGCCGCAUCUCGGCCUCUAUCGCGGAUCUGGCCUCUCGUGACCCUAGCUGGCGGUAUUGAUGGUCGUCCACCUGAUCCGAUCGCACAUGUCCUCACCAUAGGUGUUUCUGGAACCAACAAAUCCACAUGACAAGAGUACAAGAAAGUGAAGUUUCCUAAUGGUUCGGUAGCAUCUCGAAGCGAAGUACAGACAUCUCGUACCAAUCCACAAGACUCUACUAAACCUAUUCAUGACUCAUGAGACCUACGUAACCUAGUGCUCUGAUACCAACUUGUCACGACCAAAUAUCCUAACCCGUCGUGACGACGCCUAACACAAUUACUAGGCAAGCCGCCAAUCACAAAACAACUAAGCAUUUGAAUUAAAACAUAAUUUAAUAAGCUCAACAUUGGAAAAUCUCAUAAAUAUCUGAUGAAAACAACUGUAACUCUACUACAACAAUCUAAAAACUUGGUAUCAAUGAGUACAUGAGCACUACAACAUCUCAACAUAAAACAAACUCUAGUACAACUGUCUGAAUAGUAAAACUGUACUAAAGAAAAUAAAAGGAGGGAGAAUCAAGGUCUGCGGGCCCAUAGAAGCUACCUCAAAGUCUCCAAUCAGGUACUACCACAACUCUAGCAAUCACCACGUCUAGAUAUACCUGGAUCAGCACACGAAGUGCAGAGUAUAGUAUGAGUAUAACCGAUCCUGUGUACUCAAUAAGUAACAUAAAUAACCUUGGGAUGAAAGCAGUGACGAGCUUAGAAGGAUACAUUCGGAACUAAUAUAUUGACAACACAUAUAUAGUAAUGAAAAUGACAGUAAUAACUCAGAGAAACCUUCAUAUUCUGCUCAUUCAUGGUAUAGAAAAUUUAGACAUGCUUUCAAGUUCACAAUUAAAGGCCAAUAAGGAUAAGAAAAUGCCAAGUAUAGGUAGCAAGAGGAAUGGCACAUCUCUAUGCAUACAUGUCAAAUAUACAUGUCAAAAAUAUGGUAUCACAUUGAUAUUUCCAAGUACCCACACUCUUAGAGUGCUCAAUCUGUCUAUCUCAUAUUCCCACUCAACACACAUAAUCACUCAGCAUUGUACGGGUGCCUGGCAUCAAUACCCCUCACCAAAGCACGUGUAUAUAAAUCACCAUUCCUGUGCUCACUGCGGGUAUGCCAGACUCCGGAGGGGCGGAUCCUGCCCAAGCGCUAAUAUAAAGCCUAUAAGGCCUGCUGCGGCAUGCAGCCCAAUCCACAAUAAUAGAUAAGCCUAUAGGGCAUGUUGUAGCGUGAAACCCGAUCCUCAAUAACACUCAAAAUCUGACUUUCAGUCCCAUCUCAGUCAUCAAUCUCUCAAUUCUCAAGGGCUCACAAUCUCAUACCAAUCAUCCCAAACAUUAUCAUAUAACUCGUUUUCUAGGAAUGUAUACUCUUAGUACGAAGUUUAGAAGUGUUACUCACCUCAAAUUGCACAACUCAAUACUCCAACCAACCCUUGCCUUGCAAAUCGGCCUCCGAAGGACUCGAAUCUACUCACAAACAACUUAAUAUAAUUAAUACAAGCUAUAAGAAUCAAUUUCAUACGUUAAAGUUACGAUCCUUAACCAAAUUCAAAAAGUCAACCCAAAAAGUCAACCAUGGGCCCACGCCACAAAAUUCAAAAAUUCUGCACACCUAUUCAAUAAAGAGUCCAACCAUACUAAAAUCAUCCAAUUCCGACCCAAAAUCAAAUCUCAAUUCCCCAAAUCUUACUCUCCAAUACAUAGAUCACAAAUCCCCCAAACUAUACCUCAAACACACAUAAUCUAGGUGUAACAAUCAAUGGCUAUUCAAUAUUAAUGGACAAAAGUGAUCAUAAGUUGCUUACCUCUUGAAUUAUAGUGAAAUCCCUAAAAAAACAUCGCCCUAGCUGAGCUCCAUGAGUCCAAAAAUGAAGAAAAAGGCUCAAACCCUCUAUUAUAUAAGUCUGCCCACCAAUUCUCAUUUCUACGAGCCAAACACCGCAUCUUCGGUUCCGCUUCUGCAAAAUUUCAUUAAACUCUCGACCACCUUCUUCUGCGGCCAAAUACCGCUUCUGCGGUCCAUGGUCCGCUCCUGCGGGACCGCAUCUGCAGAGUUUUCUCUACUCCUAUGACAAUGGCCUCCCAGUCUAAAAAUCUACUUCUGCGACCAGCUACCCGCACCUACGAGCUCACAGGUGUGGAAUCAACCUCGCACCUGUGAACAAUGCCCAGCCUAGCCAAAACCCGCAUCUGCGCCUUCCUGGCUUCUUCUAUAGCUCCGCACCUGUGGCCUAUUCCUCACAUGUGUGAUCACACCAGAACUGAAGCUAACAUAAAAUUCUUAUGUCCAAAACUCAAUCUGAUUUCUAUCCGAAUUGUCACGCCCUAACCUCGGGGAGCGCGACCGGCGCUCAACCGAGAUACCCCGGUUAAGCAAGCCUGCUAGAUGCCUUCUACCCAGCCUUGCCCAUUAACAAUAUAAGAAUCAGUACAAAUGAUAGAUAUGAGAAAAGUCAAAUGUUCCACAUUCUUUUUCCGUUACUCAAAGGAUAUUCAUUUAUGAUUUCCAAAAAUUACAAGUUUAUAGAUAUGAUGAAAAACAUGUUUGUCAAAUACCAACACUUCUAGUUUAAUUCCCAAUAUCAAAUACCACCCACAACCUGUCUACGGAGACUCUAAUUAUAACAAAAGAGUAAUAUGGAAGUGCCGGUGACAAGGCCCCGGCUAUACCUCAAAACACAAAGUACAACAUCCAGUGAAAUCAGGCCCGGAACAAAGUAGGGCUCACCAAAACAUGCUGAAUAGAGAGUAACUACUAAUGAGAACCAAAGCUGCCCGCUGACAAACCACUUGAAUCCAUUGAAGAUGCAGUGCCCCCGACAAAAGGGACAUUAGUACAUAUGGAAUAGUACUAGUAUGAAAACCAAACACCCCCUUCAAGAAUUGGAAGUACAACAUGAAUGUGACAAAUCAUGGAAGAAAUAAAAGAGCUUAAAUAGCCAUUAAAACCAUAGCAAAUUCAUUAAAAUCUUUCAAUAACAUUUAUAAAUUUCAAGUUGGGGAUCCUCUGUAGCAACCUCUACACAAAGCGGCCCCACCGCCUCGCCCCAAUGUGUGCAGGUGGAGGUGUAAUCACAAUGCCAUAAUCUCUCUACAAAGCGUCCCUUCCGCCUCACCUCAAUGUGUGCGGGUGGAGGUGUAAUCAUAAUGUCGUCAUCUCUACACAAAGCGGCCCUGCCGCCUCACCCCAAUGUGUGCAGGUGGAGGUGUAAUCACAAUGCCACAAUCUCUACACAAAGCGGCCUUGCCGCCUCACCCCAAUUUGUGUGGGUGGAGGUGUAAUCACAAUACUACAAUCUCUAUACAAAGCGGCCCCGGCACCUCACCCAAUGUGUGCGGGUGGAGGUGUAAUCACAAUACCACAAUAUGGAUUCCCCAAAUGAAAAUAUUUUGUACAAAAGAUUUCCUUUCAAAUCAAACCCUUUGGCACCUUUGGUAUUAACAAAUAUAAGUUCGUAAGAUUUCAUCAUAUGAGAAAUAAGAAUUUGAUCACAUUGAUUUCGAACAAAACUUUCUUCCCGGGGGAGGGGGGAGUAUAACAUAAUUAAGUCAAAAUAGAGAAUCAUCAACACAUGAGGGUUCUGACACAUUAUGCAAUUCGGGAAUCAUUUUACUAGCUUGAAUAUCCCACAUUAGUAGCGUUUCAAGUUUGUACUACACAUGAUGGAGCUUUGUAAGAAUACGGGAAUUCCGAUACUAGAAAAAAGAGCUUAUCCUUCAUACCUUGUUUGAGCUUUUCUUAAGUUACUACAAUAUCCCAACACUUCUAGCAAUAUCAAUCUAUAGGAAGAUAGCGGAAAACAAGACAAUAAUUAGAGGGGUUCUCAUGGUGUAAUUCUCUUAGGAAUGUUGUCAAACACCUAAUAUGCAAAAUUAACUACAAAGCUCUACAAUGAUAUCACUUCCUCCCCCAACCAAUUUCAACAACCUCACAUUCUACCACCUAUUGGCACAUGCAUGGCCUAUCUCCAACUCCACAAUCUACUUAGACACUAAACAAACAUACAUGGAUGAUGUAGGACAAGAACUUACCCAGGUAGAUGGUGGUCUAGUGAGUGGCUUCCAUGAUUCUUGAAGAUUGGUGCAAGAAUGGGUGAUUAUAAUACUAGGUCUUCUUCUUCUCUCUCUAAAAUAUUCUUACUUCUCUCUAAAAGCAUCAAACAUUCUCUUCAAAAUGAGCCCCAAAGGCUAUUUAUCAAAAUGGGGUCGGGUUAUAAAAAUAUAAAAAUAGACCCUCUGAAGACAAGUCUGCGGUCGCAGAAUGGACCGCAGAAACGAUAUGUGGCUCGCAAAAUGGACCGCGAAAGCGAUGCCAAAAACUAGGAUGGCCUGGACCGGUCUGCGGUCAAGUCUGCAGUCCGCAGACCACUCAUGCGGAUGGACUGCAGAAUCGCCCAAUGAAAUACCUCAUGCUAACUCUACAAUAGAAGUGCGGACUACGAAACAGGUAUGCGAUCGCAUAAUGGACCGCGAAACAACCUUCAUAAUUUAACUAUUUUCUGCUCAACUCCGCGAUGGAUAUGCGGCUCGCGGAACGGAUCUGCGGUCGCGAAACUCACCGCAUAAAUGUCUUCUUUCGCCAAAACUUUCCACCAACUCCUCCAUGCAUUCUUCAACCCCAAAAAGUCUGUGUCACAGCGUGCACAUUAGUCUACCUCGGCACCACAUAACCUUAAAUUCCUUAGAGAAAUUUUACGGGGCCUUACAUCCUUCCCCGCUUAGGAUCAUUCAUCCUCAAAUGAGGAGUAGAGUCCACCCCAUACACCUAACAUAACUCAACUCUUCUUUCAAACAUCUCAAGCCCAAAAUUUUGACUAACUCCCAAAUUUUUCAAACUUUUUGGCAGAGUUUCCCCUAUAAUUUGGCCUAUCCACCUGUCAGAAAAUCACCAAAACCUCCUUAACAACUGAUCCACAACUCAACAAAGCAUCACAAUAUAUAUCAAUAACACUAAUCUCAACAUUAUAGGCAUUACAUCACCCACAGUGGUAUCCUGACAUGAACUGUACAUAUUUAAAUCAUAACACAUAGAAAGUACCUUUCGAACCAUAACCAUUUAGCUAUACAAACAUGUGAGAAUAUUUUCUUUCCACAACACUCUCGGCCUUUGAGGUGACCUCCUCGACUCACAGACUUGACCAUAGCAUUUUGACGGAGACAAUCUCAACUUUCGAACUUCUCUAACAAGGAUGAUAAUUGGGUACCUCUCAUAAGCCGAUUACCCAUUAACUUCACCUUCCAUAGCUUCCACAGGAAUGAUAGACAAAUGAUUCCCAACUACCUUCUCGGACAUAGACAUAUGAAUACCAGGUGCAUGGAGAACAACGAUGAGGGACAUCAUACUCGUAGCUCGGCCUAUUUCCCUCAAGAUUCCAUAAGGCCCAAUGUGUACUACACCUACUUUACCUUUAUUAACAAUUCACAUAAUAUCUUUAUGGAGAAAAUCUGGAGAAUAGCCCGUUCACUUUCUUCCACUCUAAAUCUCUAUGUCGGACACCCGAAUUGGAUCCUUGGCGACCUUCAACCCCCUCCUCAUCCUUAUACUACGAUGUGACUGAAUGAAAAAGACCAUGGGAUUUACUACUCCAAUAUGUUUGAUCAUGGAAUGAUACUUAUUCUUUGGCAUGUGUGAAACUACAACUCUCUAGAGAUCUACUACAAAUAGGAACAACAAGGUCCGAGUUUGAGCUGGAAUUGUUCAUGAAUCCACCAAGGUGCUAAGUAGGGCAUUUCAGGAGGUUAUAUUCUAAGAGACUGGAGGGUGACCACCGAUAGCGUUCAUAUGGUUAAUCAUUGUGAUGACAUGAUCGAUUCAACAAAUGAGGCGUAUAGUUAUCUAGUACACAUUUAUAAUGUGGGAACCAUGUAGAUUUAUUCGUGCACAUUAGUCUACCUCGGCACCACGAAACCUUAAAUUCCUUCGCUAAAUUUUACAGGGCCUUACAUAAAUCACACCCGAGACCCCCGGGACCCCCAUCGAAACAUACCAACACAUCCUAAAAUAUGGUACAAACUUAGUCGAAACCUCAAUUCACAUCAACCAACAUCAAAAACACGAAUCGCACCCCAAUUCAAGCCUAACAAAAAUAAUGGAUUUCCAACUCCAUUCCGGAGUCGUUUACACAUAAGUCAACAUCCGGUCAACUCUUUCAACUUAAGAUACCAACCUUGGGACUGUGUGUCCCAAUUAGUUCCGGAACAUCCCCGGAACCAAGCCAACCAAACUAGCAAGUCACAUAACCACAAAUGAACAUUGAAUAAGCAAUAAAUGGGGGAACAUGGCUACAAUAUUCAAAAUGAUCGGCCGGGUCAUUACGCGAAGAGCAUUCCAACCAGCUGACAUCGCAAAUGCGGCUCCCUGCUCUCAAAAGCGCACAACCAACUUUCGCAAAAGCGAAUAACUCCUGGCAAAUCCGAGGUCUCUCCCUAGCAGCCCUUAGUCGCAAUUGUGAUGGAACUUCUACAAAUGGGAUUGUCGCAUUUGCGACUUACUCAUCGCAAAUGCAAUGAAAUCAGAACCAGCACAAUGAAAUGUUAACAAAACAGUCUGAAGCCAAUCUGAAACUCACCCGAGCCCUCGAGGCUCCACACCAAACAUCCACAUAAGUCUAAAAAUAUCAUAAAAACUCACUAACUCAAUAAGAACACCAAAAUGACAUCCAGAACCACGAAUCGGACAUCCAAAUGCAUGAUUGUUAAAAGAAAACUCAAGAACCUCUAGAUUCACAACCAAUUGUCUGAAUCAUAUCAAACCAACUCCGAAUGACACAAAACUUGCUGGCAAGUUCCAAAUAAAAUAACUGACCUAAUUCAAGUCCCCAAACUGAAAUCUGAACUCGAUAGCCAUAAAGUCAAACCAUAGUCAAACCUAAGAAAUUUCUAAACCUUCAAAUUACCAACUUUUGGCAAAACAUGCCACAUCAACCUAGUGACCUUUGAAUUCAAUUACGGGCAUACACCCAAGUGCAAAAUCACUAUACGAGCAUAUUGAAGUCAUCAAAAUACCGAUUUGAGAUCAAAUACGCAAAAUCAAACUUGGUCAACUCUUCCAACUUUAAGCUUUUAGAAUGAGAAUCACUCUUCCAAAUCAAUCCCGAACCACUCAAAAAAUAAAGACAAUGCUACAUGCACGUAAUAAUACACCAUAUGAAGCUAUUCGUGACAUCAGAUCACCGAACUACUCAAAACGAACGGUUGGGUCGUUACAUUCUCCCCCACUUAAACCUAUGUUCGUCUUCGAACGUGCCAAGAGUUUUUCUAAGGACAUCAAAUCACUAUGUAACCCCCUCCCCCUCGAUCACAUACCCGUGAGUGAUCCCACAUCGCCCCAAUCCAUACAAGCCAAACAACACAACCUAGCUGACGAUCCUUACUGCAACCUUAGCCCAUAAACCUUAGAGCCAAAUUUUCCAAUAUCUGCAACCCAUUACAAGACCCGAUUCUCAUAUCUAUACGUUGUAUAAGUGUAACACCCGGGAAAAAUUUUAAAGUGUUUUAAGACCAUUAAGAAGAUUGGCGGGUGCUAAUUAUAUUAAUUCGGGUACGAAUAAGACUGAUAAUUUGAGUGAUAUCAAUUUAUGAUGAUAAUAUAUGUAUGAGGAGCAUUAAGAAUGGUUUAUGAUCUAAGAAGAGCCCUAAGGCUAAGUCAAGUUAAAAAUUAUAUGAUGGUAUAAACUUUCAAGUGAGUAUGCAAAAGAUCUAACUUCAAACGAGCAUAACUCUCAAGCUAUGCAGAUUUAUAUGGUGUAUAACCUAUAAAAAAUGACCUUUGAAUCUAGUUUCUAACGCAUCAAACCGUUCAUCAUUUGGAUAUGUAUACAGAAAGUUAUGACUAUUUUACUGGACCUGUGUCAUAUGGGCGGUCAGAUGCGCGGCCAAAUCUGCGGCCGCACAUAUUUGAGAGUUUCUGCCUCCACUCUACUGCAAAUCCGCGGCCAAAUCCAUGGACGCGGAUGUAGAAACCCAUUAAAUACCCCCAAGACCGGGUAGAGAGAGAUAAGUCAUUUCUUCAAGACUAGGGCUUUCUCUCUACCACCCAUCCGGCCAAGGCUUCAAAUACACAUCUAAGGUGAGUUUUUAAGUGUGUUUUUAUGAUGAUUUCACUUCUCAAUCACUAGUUACAACAAGGUUUUGUAUUGGAUUCUAUGGGAUUUCUUCAAAAUCUCAAGAACACCCCAAAAGUUGACUUUCAAGAUUUGGUCUACAAGAGGUAAUCUUUCACCCUUAAACCUACAUGCAUGGAUUGUUAGUGAAUAAAUGAGAAAGGAAUAAGUACUAGCACUUAUGAGAUGGUGAUUGGAAGCCAUAAAUACUUAAACUAGAUUAUUGGGUGUGGUAGAGAUUUUGUAACAAGUUAAUUAGUAGAAUUUGGUAGAUGUGAGUUCAUUGAUGAUUAUAAUGGUGCUAAGAAGGUAGUUAGUGGACAAAGGAUGUUGUAGUAUCUCUUGUUGGUGGUUAGGAUGUAUUGUUGGAGGAAGAAACACCAUUACUAGAGGUAGUUGAAUGUUAUGCACACCUAGUGUUUGAUAAAAUGCUCAAGUGAGCUAGAACCAUGAUCAUCUUACUAAUUUUGGUUCAAUUUGUUAUAUUUCUAAAAUAGAUUGAAGUUGCUAAGAAUUCUGGAACCUUCUAGAGUUUAAGGAAGCUCAAUUGAGGUAUGUAUGGCUAAACCCCCUUCUUCUUAGAAUCGAAUUCCACGGUGUUCAUGUAAUUGAAGUAAGACCUUGAUCAUUAUUGAAUUGGAUAUUCCUAAUGUGGUGGUGUCGAAGGAUAUAUGUUCAAUAUUUAUUCUAAAUAUUUUUAUCAUGUCAUCUUGCCAUUUGAGGAUAUGUUAAAAAUGUGGAAUAUGUGUUAGAAAUGUUAUGACUUCAUUUUAAGAUCGAAAUAAAGGUUGUUAUGCCAAAUUGUAUGAAAAGCCUCUAUGUGCCUAAGAUUCCCAAAUUGUUGUGUUAUGUGAACUUACUGUCUUGAAUGGGAAGCCUUAUUGUUGUUGAUAAUGAUUAUGAUAAUGAUAUUUGAAUGUAGAAAAGGGGACUGAAAUUAUGAAAUAUGGCCAAGUUCCAAGAAUGAUUUUGUAAUUGAAAUCACUAGUGCCAAUGAAUUGAAAGUAUAUGAAAGAAGUACGGUGUGAAAUGAUUGACAGAAAAUGGUUAAUGUUUCAAGUGAGAUGGCCUAGCCGAUCGGGCCGAGAUCGGACUCCGUGUAAGAACACAGUGGUAUUGUGGAUGAAAUUGUGGAUUGUAGCACUAUGCUGGAAAUGAUAAUUGAAAUUGUGGAUAUGGUUGAUGCCUCAAAUGAGAUGACCUAGCCAAUCGGGUCGAGAUCGGACUCUGUGUAAGAACACGGUGGUAUUGUGGAUUGUGGCACUGUGCUGGAAAUGAUAAUUAAAAUUGUGGAUAGAGUUGAUAUCUCAAAUGAGACGACCUAGCUGAUCGGGUCGAGAUCAGACUCAGUGUAAGAACACAGUGGUAUUGUGGAUUGUGGCAUAUGGCACCAAAGAUUACCCAACCUAAUAAGAUGGAAAUUGACUUGAGAACUUAUGUGAUCCUUACUUGAUGUUUUAGUAUUUUUUUGAAGCUCUUAUUGAACUCAUGAAUAUUUCCUCCUUGUAUUAUUGUCCAUUCUAUUGAGAUGGUGUUUUAGAUUUACAUACUAGUACUAUUCGACGGUACUAAUGUCCCUUUUGCCGGGAAUGCUACAUCUUUAAAUGGAUGCAGGUGGUUACAUAGCAGAAAGUGUUGAUCGCAGUUAGUGGUACAUCAUAAUUUUUUCAGCAGACUCGGUGAGCCCCAUUUCAUUCUGCGGUCAUGUAUUGUACCUUUUAUUUAUAUUGUGGUCACUUUUGAGGUAUAGCCGGGGCCUUGUUGCCGGCAGUAUCAUCAUACUCUUCUUUAUCCAUAGAGGCUCCGUAGACAUAGUGUGGGUUGUGUAUUGGUGUUGGGAAAGUCAAAAUAUGUUAUGUUGUGGUUGUAUUAUUUGUCCAUUUGAGAUAUUAAAAAUGAUGAAACUAUUGGUAAUGAAUGGGUAUUGUAGACAUGAACACCUUUUUGUCUACAAUUGCAUGAUAGGAUAUGAAGAAAGAGAAGUUUCCUAACACCCUAUAGCCUCUCGAAGAUACGUAUGGACGUCUUUGCACCGAUCUACAAGACUCUAUUAGGCCCACUCAUGACUUGUGAGACCUAUGUGAACCUAUAGCUCUGAUACCAAGUUGUCACGACCCAAUUCCCAUUAUAGGCCGUGACAGCGCCCAACAUCGCCGCUAGGCAAGCCAAUAGUGAACUAUCCAUAUAAUUAUUUAUUUUAAUAUUUUUAAAGUCAUUGAUUUUAUUUAAUAAGGUAACGAUUAAUAGGUGAUUGAAAUAAUGUAAAGCAUCAAAUAAACAAAAGAGUGAAGUAGAGAAUUUAAUAAACAAAAACCAUGAAAUAUCUGUUAGAAUCUCCCAAAAUCCGGUGUCACAAGUGCACGAGCAAACUAGUAGAACAUACAAAACCUCUUAUACUAUUGUCUGGAGUAAGAUACACAGAAAAAUAAAUACAACAAGAAGAGACUCCGGGUGCUGCAUAAUGGGGUAUAGGGAGCAACUGACAACUAAGUUUCUGGGUAGUGGGGGUACGCGCCUGAAUAGCCGCCAGAUGCACCUGCCUCAGAUCCUGCACGAUUAGUGCAGAAGUGUAGCGUGAGGUAAACAACAUAUAUCUAGUCUAACAUCGAAGAAGUAGUGACCAGGGAUUGACAUUGACACUUACUAUGGGUCAAUAAAUAUAGUACAAAAAUUAUAAAUAGGCAUGGAAUGCAUCAGUAACGACAAAAUAAGGAAAAAUAAAUAAGUAGUUCUUUAACUAAAUAUAAAUUAAAAUCUACAACGAUCACACACUAAUUUCAAUAAAUAAGAGCCAUCAAGUAAUUGUAAAUUCUCAAGUCAUAGAAGAAAUAUCAAGUAUAUUCAAACUCCGAGCAAUAUCAUGCACGAUUUAUACCGAGGUCGUACGACCCGAUCCAGAAUAGUACGUAAACUGCCGAGGGUUGACCGGCAUGAACCAUAGAUGCAUCUAAUAUACUUCUGAGGCGUUUAGCUCGAUCCACGGGAAGAGAGAAUACUCUACGAACUCUGAUUAAUGGCUACUUCAGAAGAAUAAUAUUAAAGGAAGGCAUAAUUUCCACUAACGGUCAAGUAACCCGCUAAAACUCAAAGUAAUGAAGCUCAGUCUUUACAACUCCUUUAUCCAAUUUCAAUUAUAAUUUAAGUAAUUAAACUAAUAAUUUGAGUGCAUUUAAUACAAGUAAUACCUGGUAGAGUCCUAAAACUACCCGGGCAGAAGCAUGAUUUUUGCUACAUGCGGACUCUCGUCACAUCGUGCGCACGUUGCACCCACAAUUAUAAGAAAACAAUCAUUUAUAGCACAUACGAGGAUAAUUCCCUCUUACAAGGUUAGGCAAGAGACUUACCUCGUUUCCAAGUCCUCUUCCCGGUCCACAUUUCACGCUAAAAGCCUCAAAUUGGUGCCAUGCAAUCCGAAACGAGCCAAAUAUUGUAUAUAUUAAUCUAUAUAUACUCAAAAGUUUAUAAUUUAACUAUUCGCGUAAUUACCCAACCCAAAUUGAAAGAUUCUUAAAAUUCACCCCAGCCCCACGUGCCCGAAUUUUGGAAUUAUUUGUAAAUAAAUGUUACCCAUAACCUCACGAAUACAAAUAUAUAAUUUCUUACUAAAUUCGAUAAUCAUUUACAUGGUCUAAUCCCAUUUGUAUCAAAACCUACAUUUUUCAACUAAAUCCUUUAAUUUCCACAAUUUAUAUGUUAAAAUCUACCCAAAAUCCAUGUAUUAAUCUCACAUUAAGUAGUAAUUACUUACCUUACAAUGAUAGGUGAAAACUCCCUCUCCAAGAGCUCCAAAAUCGGCUAACCCAAAGUAAAAUGAGAGAAAAUGAGUCUAAUCCCUGAUUUAAAACCCAGUUGACCCUUCUUCAUGAUCGCGGAAUGACCCUGAGAAACUUCAUCGUGAAUGCGAGGGCAGUCUUACGAUCCUGAAGGCUUGACUUGCCUGAGCAUCGCAAAUGCGGUGGUACCUUUGUGAACGCGAAGGGUAAUGAUGUUGACCCCCUCCCAUGCCCCUUUUCCCCUAUGCGAACGCGAGCCCUUUCACGCGAACGCAAAGGCCACAGGUCCCAGACGUUCGCAAACUUGGACUAGGGAUCGCAAAUGUAAAGAGCAAAUACCCAGUCCCCCAAUUUCCUUCUUCACGAACGCGACACCACCCUUAUAUGAUGAGAUUGGUGUAUUGUGAGAGUAAAUCCCUAUGUUAAUGUGAUGAGACUAUUUCCCCUUAUAUGGGAUGAGAUUGGUGUGUUGAGAUAUUUCCCCUUGAAAGGGGAUGAGAUUAUUGCUAGCGAGAUGUGAUGUGAUGUCGACCCACACGGUAUUGUGGUGAGACGGCUUAGCCUAUCGAACUGAGAUCGGAUGCCAUGCUGCGCACAUGGUGGUAUUAUGAGUGUAUGUCUCGGGUGAGACGGCUUAGCCGGUCGGGCUGAGAUCACACUUCGUGCUAAAACACGGUGGUGUAUCGGUGCUAAAGAUCUCUCAACUUAAAUUACUGAAACUUACGUGAAAUUUACCUUUCCCCUAACUUGACACCUUGAUACAGUUUGAGUCUCUUAUUGAUUCAUGUUUUCUUCUCCAUUUACUAUUACUCGUUCUAUUGAGAGGGUGGUUAUUUUUACAUACUAGUACUAUUCCAUAUGUACUAACGUCCUUUUUUUGGGGGCGCUGCAUCUUUAAUGGAUGCAGAUGGUUCCAUAGCAGGUGGUAUUGAUCGGUGAUAGCAACACACCCUCUCCUCAACUGACUUGGUGAGCCCCACUUCAUUUGGGGGUCCUGUAUCUCUUGUUCCAUGUAUAUAGUGUUUUGAGGUAUAGCCGAGGCCUUGUUGCUGAUACUGUCAUAACACUCUUUGUUCCUAUUAAAACUAAAAAUGUUGUAAUCGUAUCAUCUAUUCCACUUUAACUAUAAUUGUAUAAUGUACUAUUUUGGAGAAUUAAUAAUGAUGUAACUAAUGGAAAUGGACUGGUGUUAUUCACAUGACCUCUUAUUGUCUAAUUAAUGAAAUGUAUUCUUAUCUUUAUUCAUGGGAGAGUGGGGUAGACGACACUGUGUAGUCUUGCUCGACCGAGAUAACUCUGUUGAGCGCCGGUCGCGCCCCCUGAGGUCGGGGCGUGACAGCCGAUCGGGCUGAGAUCGGACUCCGUGCUAAAAACACGGUGGUGUAUCGGUGCUAAGCAUCUCCCAACUUAAAAUACUAAAACUCACUUGAAAUUUACCUUUCUUUAACUUGACAUCUUGAUACUGUUUGAGUCUCUUAUUGCUUUCAUGUUUUCUUCUCCAUUUACUAUUACUCAUUCUAUUGAGAGGGUGUUUAGUUUUACAUACUAGUACAACUCCAUAUGUACUAACGUCCCUUUUGCCGGGGGCACUGCAUCUUUAAUAGAUGCAGGUGGUUCCAUAGCAGGUGUUAUUGAUCAGUGAUAGCAGCACACCCUCUCCCCAGCUGACUUGGUGAGUCCCACUUCAUUUCUGGGUUCUGUAUCUAGUGUCCUUUGUACAUAGUGUUUUGAGGUAUAGCCGGGGCCUUGUUGCCGGCACUGUCGUAGCACCCUUUUGUUCCUAUUAGAGGCUUCGUAGCCAUAGUGUGGAUUGUAUCUGUUUUUGGGAAGGUUGAACUAAAAAUGUUAUAAUCGUAUCAUCUGUUCCACUUUAACUAUGAUUGUAUAAUGUACUAUUUUGGAGACAUGUUAAUGACGUAACUAAUGGAAUUGAACAGGUGUUAUUCACAUGACCUCUUAUUGUCUAAUUAAUGAAAUGUAUUCUUCUUUUUAUUCAUGGGGUGAGUUGGGUAGAUGACACUGUGCAGGCUUGCUCGACCGGGGUAACUCUGUUGAGUGUCGGUGGCGCUCCCCGAGGUCGGGGCGUGACAAAAACCUAAGUCAAAGGGUAAGUCUCAACUACCCAUAUCCCCCACGAGUUCAUAUAUGUGUUUUGUUUUCAAAUCGGAGUCCAAUUUGACUCUCAAAUCUUAAUUUUUUAUUUUUCAAAACAUAGACAAAAAUCUCUAAAUUUUCCCUUCAAAUCCCAUGAUUUGAUGUUAAAAUCUCAUAAAUAAUCAUGUAAUAUAUUUGAAAAUUGAUCGAAAUCAUUUUCCCAAUAGUUUGAUAUGAAAAUCUCUCCUCAACAUCGUCUCCCACCGAGUCUAGGGUUCAAAAUAUGAUAAAAUGAAGCUAAGUCCUGAAAUACUCAGCUAUAAACAAGCUGCAGAUGUUGCAUUUGCGACAUGGGGUACGCAAAUGCGACAAUUGCAAAAGCAAACAAAUUUCCGCAAAAGCAACCCUUGAGAAUCACUACUAACGUCACAUUUGCAACAUAUAACUUUGCAAGUGCAAAGAGCAUUUCACCCAACUGCAAUCGCAAAAGCGACACCUUGCUCGCAAAAGUGCACAGCCAUCUUUCACAAAAAGAGAAGAACUCCUAGUAAAUGGUAGGUCCCUCCCCAGUAGCCUUAGUCUCAAUUGCCAUAGAACUUUCGCAAAUGCGAUGAAACCAGAACCAGCACAAUGAAAUGUUCAUAAAACAUUCUGAAGCCAAUCUGAAACUCACCCGAGCCCUCGGGGCUCCACACCAAACAUCCACACAAGUCUAAUAACAUCAUAUGAACUCGCUUAUCAUCCAAGAAUACCAAAAUAAAAUUUAGAACCACGAAUCGGACAUCAAAACGCAUGAUUUUCAAAAGAAAACUCAAGAACCUCUAGAUUCACAACCAGUCGUCUGAAUCCUAUCAAACCAACCCUGAAUGACACCAAUUUUUACAGAAAGGCUCCAAAUAACAUAAUUGACCUCAUCCAAGUCCCAAAACUGAAAUCCGAAACCAAUAUCCAUAAAUUCAAACCAUAGUCAAACCUAAGAAAUUUUAAACCUUAAAAUUGCCAACUUUCGGAAAACAUGCCAAAUCAACCUAGGGACCUCCGAAUUCAAUUGCGGGCGUACACACAAGUCAAAAAUCACUAUACGAACCUAUAGGAGCAAUGAAAAUACUGAUACGAGAUCAAAUAUGCAAAAAGUCAAAUUUGGUCAACUCUUCCAACUUUAAGCUUCUAGAAUGAGAAUCACUCUUCUAAAUCAAUCUCGAACCACAGGAAAUCAAAGCCAACGCUACACGCAAGUAAUAAUACACCACAUGAAUCUAUUUGUGACCUCAAACCAUCAAAUAAAAUACAAUUUCUUAAAACAACCGGUCGGGUCGUUACACCGGGGUCCGCACCCUAGAACCCGAUAAAACUAAAAAUUUCUGAAUACCCAUUCCGAUACAUGUCCAACUGUAAUGACCCAGCUAGUCAUUUUGUGUAUAGUAUCCCCGUUCCCAUAUUUAUUGCUUCUUCUAUGUUCAUCUGUGGUUAUAUGACUUGCCGGUGUAGUUGGAUUGGUUCUGGAAUGGUUUUGGAAUGAAUUGGGAUACAAAGUCCCAAGGUUGAAGGCUUUAGUUAAAAGAGUUGACCGAAAUUUGACUUUUAUGUACACGACUCCAAAAUGUAGUUUUGAUGGUUCCAAUAGCUUCGUAUGGUGAUUUUGGACUUAGAUGUAUGUUUGGAUGUUAAUUUGGAGGUCUGUAGGUUUGUUUGAGGUCUUUUGGCGAAAGUUGGAAAGUUGAAGGUUUGGAAGGUUGAGAGGUUUUAUCGAGAGUUAACUUAGUUGAUAUCGGUUUUGUACUUUGGUUACAGGAGUUGGAAUAGGUCUGUUGUGUCAUUUGAGACUAGUGUGCAAACUUUAAGGUCAUUCGGAGUUGAUUUGAUAUGGUUCGGCAUUAGUUCUAGAAGAUGGAAGUUCAUUAGUUUAUUAGGAUUGAACUGGUGUGCGAUUUGUGGUUUCUAUAUUGUUUGAUGUGAUUUGAGGCUUCGAGUAAGUUUAUAACGUAUUUUGGGACUGGUUGGUGUAUUUUUAUGGGGUCCUAGGGGUUUCGGGUAUGAUUCGGAUGGUUGGCAGAUCAUGUUUGAACUUGGGAAAAUACUGAAGGUUUCAGGUUCUGGUGCAAUCUCACAUGCGAGGGUUUGGCUGUAGGUGCGAAGCCGCAAAAGCGGCCUAUUGAUCGCAGGUGCAGAUGAAGGCUAGGCUAGGCAGAGUCCACAAAUGCGGAAGGGUAACUACAAAUACGAGUCCGCAGAUGCGGACAAGAGGUCGCAGAAGUGGGCUACAUUGGGCUUGUGGAGGAGCGCAAAUGCGAGGGAUUUCUGCAUCUGUGAGCCCACAAAUAUGGACAGGUGAGCACAGAAGCAGAAUUUGGUCGGAGGCUGGUUGUCCGCAGAUUCGGAUGUUUGGUCGCAAAAGCGGUCCUGCAUGUGCGGAAAGGAUACCGCAGGUGCAUCAGGUCGGGAUUUAAGUGAUUUCCGCAUAAGCGGUACUUUGACCGCAAAAGACCAAUUUUGCCGAAGGUGCGCGAAUCGCUGGGCAGAACAUAAAAAUGAGGGUUUGGUCAUUUCUCUCAUUUUGGAAUUUUGGAGCUCGGUUGGAGAUGACUUUUGAGAGGGUUUUUGCUACAAUUGAAGAGGUAAGUGAAGUUUAAUCACUUUUGACGUUAGAUAUUGAUUACCCAUUGAUUUUUACACCUAGUAUAUGUGAAUUUGAGGUUAAAUUUGGGGAUGUUAGACUAUGUUAUUCGAGGGUAAGAGUUGGUGAUUUGGGGUUGUUUUAAGGAUGGAAUUGGAUGAAAUUAGUAUGGUUUGACUCGUAAUUGAAUGGGUGUUGGGAAUUUAUGAAAUAUGUAGGGUUUCAAGCUACGACCUGGGGUUGACCUUUUGGGUUGACUUUGCAUAUUUCAUUCAAGACUUUAACUUUAUCAUUUGGGAUUGUUUCCUAUGUCUAUUAUUGAUGGUAUUAGGUUGCUUUUACUAGAUUCGAGUCGCUCCGAGGCCGAUUCACGAGGCAAGGGCUUGUUGGAGUAUUGAGUUGCGCGUUAUGAGGUAAGUAACAUAUCUAAACUUGGGUUUGAGGGUAUUUAACUCUGGAAACUACGUUAAAUGAAUGUUAUUGGGGAGACGUACUCGCUAGGUGACGGGCGUGUGUACGUGCACCGAUAUGUCCGUGACUUGAUAUGACUUUUAGGCCUCAUUUGUUUGCACUUAAUGGAGGUCUGAAUCUUAAUCAUUCAGAUCUCAGCCAUUAAGUGCGUUUGUUUUCAAAGUCUGAAUCUUAAUUAUUCAGAUCUUAAUCGUUAAGUGUGUUUAUUUUUUUUACUUCACAACUACUUAAUGGGUCUGAAUAGGUCUGUAUCAUUAAGAUCUAUAACAGAGACUUAAUUUCAUUAAGAUGCUAUCAUCCAUACUCAUUAUUAACUGCCGCCACCGCCAACCAUUAUCAUCUACCACCAUGCCACCCACCACCACCAUCAUCCUCAAUCAUAGCCGCCACCAUUGUCGACUACCACUAUUCCCACCAUUCCCACCACUCCCACCACCAUCAUUAACUACAACUAACACUCAUCCACCUCAACUGCCACAACUAACCACCCCAUCACCAUCAACAACCAUAGCUGGCACUGCCCAUCAUUAUAAACUACCACCACCCACCACCAUCUUCCUCAAUCACAACUACCACCACCACCCGCCAUUAUUAAAUAUCACCACCCACCACCACCAUCCUCAAUCAUAAUAACUACCACUACUAAUCACCACUAGCUACUACCCUAAACUACCACCAACCACCACUUUUAGUCGGCAUUCACAAGCACUACCGUUAGCCAUCACCACUAACAACUAUCAUAUUUUAAAAAGCUAAUGUAAUAUUAGAUAAAUUAGUAUUUUAUUUGAAUUUUAUGUUUAUUAGUUUUCAAAUAAACGUAAAUUUUAUACAUUCAGAUGUUAAAAAUCAAACAAUCUUAAUCAUUUAGUAUUCAGCUCUUAAUACUCAUCUUGACAUUCAGAUGUGUAUUCAGAUUUAGAUGUCUUAAUCUUAAUACACAUUUUGAUAUUCAGACGUGUAUUCAGAUUCAAAUGUCUUAAUCUUAAAAAAAAUAAAUGAGGCCUUUGACUAUUAUGAGAAUUUUUUUUUUAUUAUUAUUAUUAUUUUUUAUUUAGCAAAUUAUACUACUAGGCAUGCCUAGUAGCUAUUUUAUUAAUAGUAAAAGAAAAAAAAACCACAACGGAAAAGUACAAGUAAGGGGGCUAGAUACAAUAGUAUUGCCUCUAUGACUUGGCUAUAUAAUCACUCCUCUAUGCCUCCUUUGCCUUAAGAUGGCUGCCUCAUGUAGAGGAUCAUGGUGUAGCUGCCGGCAGAAGUCUCACGAGUGCAUAUAAUCUCAUAGCCGAGUGGAUCUUCCCAAAGGCAUAGGAAUAUAGCGCACACACCCUGUACUAGACCUUACCUUACAAAUUAUAUUGAGGCAAAAUAAACCUCAUCUACUAGAAAGCAUGAAGAAAAUACGAACUGGAAAGAACUAAGUACUCUAUGAUCAUCACAGAGUUUAUAACAUGCUCUGUGAUGAUAUUACAAAUGAUGAUACUUAAAAAGUGAUAAAAUAAAACAAGAUAAAAAAUUGAGUCUUGCCCCUCUUUCUUCAACCUUGUGCACUCUUCAAUUUGUAGCUACUUGGCUUCUUCUUCCACUAUCUUCAAAUAUUCUUCAAACUUUAUGCCAGGCACCCGUACAGUGCUAAGUGUGAUUAUUCUACGUUAAAUGAAUGUUAUUGGUUGGCUACCAUGCCUCGUUAUAUCCGUGUUCCUAAACCUGUAUGUUUAUUUGAGUGCUGAUUUAUGUUAGAAAUCAUGUCUAGGCUAUGUGAUAUUCGUUUGAGACUCGAUAGGGCUAUUCUUGCUAUAUCUAGGAUAUUUGCCUUAUUUGUACACAUGUUCUCAGUCAUGAAGCUAUAUCCGUGUAUGGUAUCUCUGUCUCAGUACUUCUUAUUUGAUUCCUUACAUGUUGUUGAUAUCUCCUAUGUGUAACACUAUUGAACUGAGUAUUAUGAGAUGUGUUUAUCUGAGACUUGCAUGUUUAAUGACUGAGUUUGGGCCGUUGAGCCGCUUUGGUAUUGAUUUUGAGAUGACGCGUAUGCUAGGCUCAUAUUGGGCUAAGUGUUAUUGAUUUAGGCGACGCGUGCACCAGGCCCCACUAUUUUAGGUAAGUGAUUAUAAUUAGCGCUUGGGAAGGAUCCUCCCCUCUGGAGUCUGACAUGCCAGCAAUGGGCGCAAGCAUAGUGUUUUAUAUACGUGCUUGAUGAUGGGAAGUUAUUCCAGGCACUCGUACAGUGCUAAGUGUGAUUAUUCUUGAUGGAUCCACUAUUAUCAGCUACAAUAGACCCUUGCGGUACGGCCCUUCCCCGGACCCCACGCAUAGCGGGAACUUAGUGCACCCAGCUACCUUUUUUUUAGGUAUAAAGAUGUACUUUCCUCAUGCUAGCUGAUAAUUAAAAUGUCUUAUCCGUGUUGGGCUUUAACUGCUAUAAAUUGAAAGCAUGUCUAAUUUUCUGAAAUGUGAAUAAGCGGAACAUAAUAUCAUUAAGCUACUUGUUUCUAUUGUUUUCUUCAUAAUCUGAAUUGUUACUGGUUAAUGACAUUUGUAUCUGACUGUUAAUGUUGAGCUCGUCGGUGCUUUCAGCACAAGGUUAGUGUUGUUACUUAUUGAACACAUCAGGUCGGUUGUAGUCAUACUAUACUCUGCACUUCGUGUGCAGAUCCAGGUACUUCCGGACGAGGUGAUCUCUAGAGUACUGUUACUACCAUGUUUAGAAAACUACAAGGUAGCUACUAUACCGUCCAUAGACCUUGAAGUUCUCUUUCAUUAUUUCUAUUAUUAUUGUUCUAGUAUUCACACAGUUGUAUUCAGAAUUUGGCCUUGUAUUUUGGUACUUAGUAGUGCUCAUGUACUCGUUGACACCAGAUUUGGGGGAUGGUUAUAGCAAUAUUGUUAUUGUCUUUAUUAGAUAAUUAGUUCAUUUCCGUUGUUAAGUUUAUUAAACCAUGAUUAUUCAAAUGCUUAGUUAUUAUGUAAUUGUUGGCUUGCUUGGCAAGUAGCGUUAGGCAUCGUCGUGGCUCCCAUGGGAGUUGGGUCGUGACACCAACCAUACCAAAAUCAUCAUCAAAUCAAAUCAUCAAUUUAUGUUUUAGAAAAGUUUUUACUAAAAUUCCCAAUUACUCCAAUUGAAAUUGACAAUCAAACACUAAUAUCGAUGUUGGAAUCAUGAAAUAUAAACAAAUCCGAGUCAAAAAUGCUUACCCUAAUCCAAGUAGUUAAAAUCCCCUCCAAAGUCGCCCAAAACUGAGCUUCAAAACCUUGCGAGAAAAAGUAACUAAAAUGUGAAACAAGUAAGAAUACAGUAGUCAUCCCAAUCCGAACUAGAUCCUAGAUGAUCCCAAAACUCACGUUUAAUAAUCCCAACAUGAUCCUUGCGAGAUUACACACGAGAUAGCAUUUUGAAUCACCCAAUUUGGCCUUAAAAUGAGGGAGAUAUGAUAUUUUGAUGUUUUAAAAGAAGUCUGAAAAUUUCAGGGACAUAAAUGGCAUUUUCGUAUUAUUUAUACUAGAAAAAAAACCAUCAGUAAGAAAAUUUUCCUUUUAGCACCCCAAAACUCAUUCGGAACCUCCAGUAUACAAACUAUAUAUGCAUUUCAAUUAUUAAACAUGCUACGAACCUACUCGCACACUCAAAACACUAAAUGACCUGAUAUUGACCAUGAUCAAACUCUAAAUCCUUAACUUAAUUAGUUUCUCAAACAAUGAUCCAAAAUAUACUCGGGACCCCAUCCAAUCAUACCAAAAAGCUAAAAUAUAUUAUCCAAACUUAUCCAAAUCCUCAAAACACCCACGGAAACAUCACAACAAAGAACCGAAGCUCGAACCGAAUAGAAUUUCUCUUACAUUAUUAAAUUUACAUUCUUUCAAAGAGUGUUUGAAUCACACUUAAACACUUUGGAUUACUUCCAAACUUUGCACACAAGUAAAAUUAAACUAUAUAGACCUAUCAAAGUCUCGGAACACCAAUUGGAGUCGAAUAACAUCAAAGUUAACUUUUGGGCAAACUUAGAAACAUUUAAGUUUUUCAAAUUGCCAACUUUCAACAAAUAGUGUCGAAUUCUUCUAGGAUCCUACGAAACCAAAUUCGAACAUACGUACAAGUCCAAAAUCAUCAUAUGAACCUAUCGGAAUAAUCAAAAAUUGAUUCUGAGUCCGUUUACCCAAAAGCCAAACCAUGUUCAAGUUUUCUAACUUAAAACUUCCAAAUCAAGAUUCAUUCAUCCAAAUUAAUCCCGAACCACUGGAAAACCAAAACCGACCAUACACUCAAGUCAUAGUAUAUCAUAUAAAGCUACUCAAAGUUUUAAACCACUGAUUGGAGCGCUAAAGCUCAAAAUGCCCGAUCGAUUUGUUAUAAGUAUUCAAUUAGUGAUCAAGAAAUCUAAUAACUAACCGCAAGAUUGAAUAAAUAAACCAAUAUGAUAAAUCAAGAAAUAAAUAUCAAUAUUCGAAUAACAAUAUUGAUGAAAGAACCACAACCCUAAAACAUGAAGUUUAGCUCCAAAUAGACAUUGCAGCCAAACAAUAAAUCAUACAAAAAAAAUAUAAACAUUACUAAGGUUGGUGGAAGAAAAGAUAAAACCCAGCCUCCACGGCACUGUUAUGCUCUCUCUUGGUCAACAGUUCUAUAAAAUUUAUGUUUAAUGACUAUCUAUAGGUGUAGAAAAAAGCCUAAAAUAAAUAAUCAAGUCCAAAAUCAAUACGGGGACAAAAUAGCUUCAAAUAUCGGACACCGCGUGUUGCCACGUGAACUGCGCAAUGAACCUCACGUUGCGAGGCUAAACGUGAGAUGAAAUCCUCGUGUCGCCUGCCUCUGUCUCAAUGUUUCGCUGCUUCAAUUCUUCAGUACCUUAAGAUGUAGUACUUUUUGCCUAACUUUCCUUUUCCAAUAUAUGAUUCAAUGUACUGCCACUUUCUUUCCUUGUUUCUUUGUAUACUUUUGUCUUCAAUCAUUACCCAAUCAUGAUAUCAUUUUAUUUCCAAUCAUUAAAUAAUCCUAAGUCAUUCUUUUAGUAUAUAAAAUACACAUAAAAUUUCUACUUUGCUCCUAAUUUCAUCUUCAAAGUACCUACAUAUAAAAUAAACUCAAUUAAGCAUAAAUAUAGUAUAAUUUAGCAUUAAAACAUCAAAAUAAGAUAAGUAAUACACUAAAAAUAUAUAAUUAGAGCCAAACAUCACUACCCCACACUUAAAUGUUGUUCGUCCUCGAGUCAACCAACAAUUUACUCUGUCUUGGAGUACUUUAUAUUUCACACAAUCGAAGAAUACUAUACCAAUGACUAUGGUUGAUAAAUUGAUUAUCCAUAGAAAGCAAAAUGACUGGUCGGAUUAUUACAUAAGUGAAAGGGAAGUAAGCUUUGAAUGCAUAUGCUAGGGUGCGAUUCUUGGUUUCGAUGUUGUUUUAUGUGUUCCAAGGCUUCGAUCAGGUCCAGAUUAUGUUUUUGAACUUGUUGGUGCAUUUUAACGGGGUCCCGGUGGCUCGCGUGUGUUUCAGACCACCCGGAGUUAAGUCAAACGUUGCAGAAAUUCUGAUGCAAGUUUCAUUCUUCGCGAACGCGGAGGAAGCCACGCGUUCGCAAUGAAGGAAUUGGGCUGAGAGACUUAUGUUCUACGCGUUCGUGAAAUAAGGGUCUCGAUCGCGAUGCUCUGGGGCCACUAACCUUCAUGUUCGCGAUCAUUGGUUCACGUUCGCAUAGUGGAAGGCCAGCUGGGAGGAGUCAGGCUGGUAGCCUUCACGUUCGCAUAGGGGAUCUCGCGUUCUCGAAGGAUAGGUCAGGUUAGCCUUCGCGAUCGCGAGUCUCCUAUCGCGUUCGCGAAGAUAAAUUUUCGGGACUUGGUAGGGUUUACUUUUCGCAAUCGCGAAGAAGGACCACUAGGCAUAAACAUGUUUUAAAAUCGGGACUUGGGCUCAUUUUCUCUUCACUUUGGGUUGGCCAAUUUUGGAGCUCUUGGAAAGGGAUUUUUCACCUAGCAUUUUAAGGUAAGUGAUUUCUACCUAAUGUGAGUUUAAUAAAUAGAUUAUAGGUAGAUUGUAACACGAAAAUUAUGAAAAUUAUAGGAUUAUGUUGUAAAACAUAGGGUUUGGUAAAAAUGGGAUUAGAGCACGAAAUUGAUUAUAGAAUUGAGUAGAAACUAUAUAUUUGAGUUCAUAAGGUCAUGGGUAACAUUUAUUUACGAAAAUUUCUGGAAUCCGGGAACGUGGGCCAUGGGGUGACUUUUAGGAACUUUCAGAAUUGGGUUGGGUAAUUACUCUAAUUGGGAAUAUAUUGAUUAGUUUGUAUGACCAUUGGCUAGUUUUGGAUUGCUCGAUCGCUGAGUAGUGAACUUGAAACUGAGGUAAGUCUCUUGCCUAAUCUUGUAAGAGGGAAUUGUCCCUGUGGGUGCUUUAAUUUUUGUUUGCUACUUGUUGUGGGUGCUACAUACACACGAGUCCAUACGUAGUUAAAUUCAUAUUAUGUCCAGUUAGACUUAGGACCUUGCCAUGCAAUAAUUGUACUACUUGAACUCUACUUGAUGGUUAAAUUACAUAAAUUAUAAUUGAAAAUUGAUAGAGAUUAUGUUGAGCCGUGCUCCAUUACCUUGCUCUUUUAUGUGUCCAUCUCUAUGUUAUAACCAUAUAUCCCGUAUUUCAGAGAGUUUCUCUAUUCUUGUGGAUCGGGCCGUACGCAUGGGCGGGUGCUAUAAAAUAGCAUUAUGGAUCGGGAUGAACGACAUAGGCAAUAUAAUUGAAAUGUAUCUUUGAUUCAUGUCAGACGACCCUCGGCAGUGUAUAUGAUUCUUAUGGACCGGGUCGUACGACCUCGGCAUAAUUCGUGCGUAAUAUCGCUAGGAGUUUAAAUAUACCUAAUAUUUCAUUCUUGACUAGAGAAUUGAUACUUAUUUGAUGGUUCUUAUUUGUUGAUAUGGCACGCAAUAAUUGGGGACAUUCAUUUGAUAUUUAUUAAAGUAUCACGUUAUUUAUUGUUACUUAUUCCAUUGUUAUUGUUGUACUUCAUGUGUAUUUAUAAUUCUUGCACUUUAUUUAUUAAUCACUAGUAAGUGUCGAUAUCGACCCCUCGUCACUACUUCUUCGAGGUUAGACUACAUAUUUAUUGGGUAUGCAUUGAUUUACGUACUCAAGCUAUACUUCGCACUAAUUGUGCAGGUUCUGGGGCAGGUACAUCUGGUAGCCAUUUGGGUGCGCAACCCUAUAAUCCAAAGACAUAGCGAUGAGAUGCUUUCCAUGCUCCGAUCUAUAGCACCCGGAGUCUCCUCCUUAUUGUAUUUACUAUUUCUGUCUUUUUUUCAAAUAGUAGUUAUAGGAAUUUUGUAUAUUCUACUAGAUAGCUCAUACACAUGUAACACCGGGUUUUGAGAAUUACUAGUAGAUGUUUAUGGUUUUGCCUAACAUUGUUGCCAUUUCAUUUUUAUGUCUUAUUUAAGCAUUAUAUCACCAUGAUAUUUUAUACAUAGUUUCUUUAUUAAUUAAAAAUUCAUGAUUUCAAAAGCAAUAAAAUGAGUAAUUAAUUUGAUAGUUCAGCGUUCGCUUGCCCUACGGUGACGUUGGGCGCCAUCACGACCUAUAGUGGGUUUGGGAUUGUGACAGCUUGGUAUCAGAGAACUAGGUUGACAUAGGUCUUACGAGUCGUGAGCAGUCCUAGUAGAGUCUUGAUGAUCAGUACGUAGGUGUCCGUACUUAUCUUCGAGAGGCUAUAGGGUGUUAGGAAACUUCAUUUUCUUGAUCUUCCACCGUGCAGUUGAUGUUGUGCUAAGUAUCUUUUUCUUAUUCUCUCUCAGAUGGUGAGAAAGCACGCUACGACUGUACCAGGUGGUAGAGGGGUUGCUCCCUCGGUUGUUAGAGGCCCAUGGAGGGCCACAUCUUCUGCUAGAGGAUGAGGGCGUCCUAGAGUUACUCUUAUUGUACCACCAGUGGAUCCAGUUGAGGAGCAGGAUGAGGCGCCUACAGCUAAGAUAGCUCCAGCAGAUUUUAUGACUGCCUCAUGAUUCCAGGAGGUCAUGGGCUAUAUGCUACGGUUCAUGGAUUCUAUGACUCAUGAUGGGCUAUUUCUGGUAGAUCCGGCUAUAUCUCAGGCGGGAGGGGGGCACAGACCCCUACCGCUCAAGCUCUAGGUCACACUGCUGGAGUUUAUCAGACCCUAGGUGCACUACCUGCGGGCAGAGCCCAGCUAGUUGCAGCAAUUAUACCAAACUCGAGACCAACCGCGACCGUUAAGCAGCAAAGCAGUUGGACAAAUGGACUAGCUACAUCCUCCGGUCUUUGGCGGUGAGCGGCAUAAGGACCCACAUGAUUUCAUUGAUCGUUGCAGGAAUAGGCUGCAUAAUAUGGGGGUAUUAGAGUCCAACGGGGUGGACUUCACCAUUUUUUAGUUGGAGGGCAAGGCCUAUAGAUGGUGGCAGUCUUAUCUCUAUAGCAGGGCACUAGGUUUACCUCCCUUGACUUGGGGCCAAUUCACACAUCUCUUUUUGGGGAGAUGCAUUACACCUUCUCAGAGGGAAGAGUUACGGGGUCAGUUCGAGCGGCUCCAGUAGGGUUAGAUAUUUGUGACCGAUUAUGAGGUGAGGUUCUAUGAUUUUUCUCGCCACACACUUAUGAUACUCCCCAUAGAUGCAGAGAGAGUGUGGAGAUUCAUUACAGGCUUGAAUUAUGGUAUCCAAGUUACUAUGGCCUGAAAGGUUGAGAUGGGAACUUCUUACGAACAGGUUAUAGAGAUAGCUCAGAGUAUCGAGGGUAUCCGUCACAAGGGCUGAGCGCAAGCACCAUGGGGCAAGUGGUCUUGAUAUUUUGGUGGAUUCAGUGGUGCCCCAUUUGGAGGCAGAGGUUAUUUCAUAAGGAGCCAGUCUAGUAGGCCCCCGUAUUCAGCACCACCACCUGCUCAGGGUGCUCUAGCGUAGCCCUACUUCAGUGCCAUUCCAGAAAGCACCUACCGUCCACCGUCUAUUUAGGGUUCUUCAAUGGGUAUUCAGGUCACGAGGGUUAGACCCAGGAUCAGUCAUCUUCCACACCGAGAGGUUUCCACGAGUGCAGGGAGCUUGGUCGUGUGAGGAGGUAUUGCCCCAAGCUUCAGGGGAAGGCAGUACAACAGGGCCAUUAACUCAUGAUCACUGCACCAACUGUUGCACCGCCCGUUCGAUCUGCUAUAGGCAGAGGGCAGGUGGGUAAGGGUCGUCUUAGAGGUAGAGGCUAGCCAAGUGGUGCUCAGGCUAGGUUUUAUGCCUUUCUUGCCAGACAAGAUGCAGUCGCCUCAGACGCCGUGAUCACAGGUAUUAUUUCUGACUGCAGUAGGGAUGCUUCGGUAGUAUUCAAUCUAGGGUCUACAUAUUCAUGUGUCUUCUCUAUUUUCUCCUUAUCUCGAUGUCUCUCGUGAGUCCUUGGGUGUUCCUGUAUAUGUGUCCAUGCUAGUGAGUGAUUUUGUUGUUGUGGAUCGGGUUUACUGGUCUUGUGUAGUGACUUUCUGUGGUUAUGAGACCAUAGUAGAUCUUUUAUUUCUUGAUAUGACCGACUUUAAGGUCAUCCUGGGCAUGGACAGGUUGUCUUCGUACCAUGUCGUUCUUGAUUACCAUGCCAAGAUCAUUACCUAGGCGAUGUUAGAGUUUCCUAGAUUGGAGUGGAGGGGUUCAUCUAUCAGUACAUCUAGUCAUGAUAUAUCUUUAUUAAAUGCUCGGUAUAUGGUCAAGAAAGGUUGUUUGGCCUAUCUAGCUUAUGUUCGGGAUACUGCUGUAGAGACUCCCACAAUUGAUUCAGUGCCCGUGGUGCGGGAGUUCUCUAAUGUGUUUUCUUUUGAUCUACCAAGCAUGCCACCAGAUUGUGAUAUCGAUUUUAGUAUUGAUUUGUCCACAGGCACCCAGCCUAUCUCUAUUCCAUUAUACCGCAUGGCUCCAAAUGAGUUAAAGGAACAGCUUUAGGAGUUGCUCGAGAAGGGUUUCAUUAGUCCAAGUUUGUUGCCUUGGGGUGCACCGGUAUUGUUUGUGAAGAAGAAGGAUGCGAGUAUGCGAAUGUGCAUUGAUUACCACUAGUUGAACAAAGAUAUAUCAAGAAUAAGUACUUGUUGCCGCACAUUGAUGACUUGCUUGAUCAUUUAUAGAGUGCUAGAGUGUUCUCUAAGAUCGACCUGGGGUCUGGGUAUCAACAAUUAAGGAUUUGUGCUUCAGAUGUUCCAAAGACAGCUUUUCGGACUAGAUUUGGGCACUAUGGGUUUCUAGUGAUGUCCUUCGACUUGACUAACGCCCCAGUGGUGUUUAUGGAUUUGAUGAACCGGGUGUUCAAGCCAUAUCUUGACUCAUUUUUCAUUGUCUUCAUUGAUGAUAUAUUGAUCUACUCGCAUAGUAUAGAGGAGGAGCACGAGAAGCAUUAUUGUGCUUCAUAGUUUGCGAGAAUAAAAGUUAUAUGCUAAGUUCUCCAAGUGCGAGUUCUGGUUAGAUUCUCUGGCUUUCUUGGGGCAUGUUGUAUCAGGUGAGGGUAUUAAGGUAGAUCCAUGGAAGAUCGAGGCAAUUCAGAGUUGGCCUCAUCCUACCACAGCGGUCGAGAUCAGGAGUUUCUUGGGGUUAGUAGGUUAUUAUCGUCAGUUUGUAGAGGGCUUCUCAUCUAUUACAGAUCCUCUGACUAGAUUGACCCAGAAGGGUGCUCCGUUUAGAUGGUUUGAUGAUUGUGAGGCAAUCGUUCAGAAGCUUAAGACCGCAUUGACUACAACACCGGUGUUAGUGUUGCCCUCUAGUUUGGGGAUGUAUACUGUGUAUUGUGAUACUUCACAUUGGCUUGGGUUGUGUAUUUAUGUAGGAGGGGUUAGUUAUUGCAUAUGCUUCACGUCAACUGAAGCCCCACGAGAAGAAUUAACAUGUACAUGAUUUGGAGUUGGCCGCGAGAGUUCAUGCUCUUAAGAUCUGGAAGCAUUAUCUUUAUUGGGUGUCGUGUGAGGUUAAUACUGAUCACUGCAGUUUGUAGCAUUUAUUUAAGCAGAGGAACCUUAAUCUUAGGCGACGCAGGUGGCUUGAGUUACUAAAGGAUAAUGAUAUUACUAUCCUCUAUCAUCUGGGCAAGGUGAAUGUGGUCGCGGAUGCCUUAAGUAGAAAGGCCGAGAGGAUGGAUAGUUUGGAAUUCAUUUCAGCAGAGGAGAGGCCAUUGGCUUUGGACAUUCAUUCCUUAGCUAACAAACUUCUGAGGUUGGAUAUUUCAGAACCCAGUCGAGUUUUUUCAUGUGUUAUGUCUCGCUCUUCUUUAUUUGAGCGGAUCAAGGCUCGUCAGUACGAUUAUCCGCACUUGUUAGUUCUUAGAGAGACAAUGCUACGGGGUGGUGACAAAGAGGUUAUCAUCGGUGAUGAUGGUGUUCUGUGACUCAUGGGUCGCCUAUGUGUUCUUAAUGUUGAUGGCCUGAGGGGGACGAUCCUAGAUGAGGCACACAGUUUGCGGUAUUCUAUUCAUCCAGGUGCGACGAAGAUGUAUCGUGACAUGUGGCAGCAUUACUAGUGGCGGCGGAUGAAGAAGGACAUAGUUGAGUAUGUGGCGAGAUGUAUAAAUUGCCAAUAGGUUAAGUAUGAGCACCAGAGGUCAGGUGUCUUACUUCAGUAGAUGGUUAUACCGGAGUGAAAGUGGGAGCGCAUCACUAUGGACUUCGUAGUUAGGUUGCCACAGACAUUGAGGAAAUUUGAUGUCGUAUAGGUCAUUGUCGAUAGGUUGGACCAAGUUGGCACACUUUAUUCCGGUAGUGACUACGUACUCUUCAGAGAGGUUGGCCCAGAUUUAUAUUCAGAAGAUUGUCCGGUUGCAUGGUGUGCCUAUUUCCAUCAUUCCAGAUAGAGGCCCUCAGAUCACUUCAUAUUUCUGGAGAUAAGUACAGAGUGAGAUGGACCCAAGUAGUGCUCAACACGAACUUUCAUCCAUAGACCGGAUGGAAGUCGGAGCGGACAAUUCAGAUCCUGAGGAUAUGCUGAGAGCAUGUGUGAUUAAUUUCAGAGGGCAGUGGGAUCGAUUCUUACCUUUAGCCGAGUUUUCUUAUAACAAUAGUUAUCUGUCCAGCAUCUAGAUGGUUUCAUUUGAGGAUUUUUAUGGCCGGCGAUGAUGUUCCCCCAUUGGUUGGUUUGAGCACGCGAGGCUAGGUUAUAUGGUACUAAUUUGGUAAAGGAUGCCUUGGAUAAGGUAAAGUUGAUUCAGGAGCGACUUCGCAUAGCUCAGUCCAUACAGGAGAGUUACACGGAUCAGAAAGUGCAUGAAUUUUCAUUUAUGGUGGGCGAGAAGGUUCUCUUGAAUGUCUUGCCGAUGAAGAGUAUCAUGAGGUUUAGAAAGAAGGGCAAGCUGAGACCGAGGUUUAUCGGUCUAUUUGAGGUUUUGGAAAAAAUAGGAGAGGUUGCAUAUAGGCUUGCUUUGCCUCCUAGUCUAUCAAGAGUUCAUCAAGUUUUCAAUGUGUCUAUGCUCAGGAAGUACCAUGUUGACAGGUCACAUGUGUUAGAUUAAAGCACAAUUCAGCUAGAUGAGAGCUUGGGUUAUGAGGAGGAGCUAGUUGCCAUUGCUGCCAGGCAGGUCCGCCAGUUGAGGUAUAAGAAGAUUUUAGCGGUAAAGUUCAAGUGGAGGGGUCAACCAUUCGAGGAGGUGACUUGGGAGACUGAGGAGGACAUGUGGAGCAGAUAUCCACACUUAUUUAACACUCCGGGUAUGAUUCUAGACCCGUUCGAGGAUGAACGUUUGUUUAAGAGGUAGAGAAUGUAAUGGCCCGACAUGUCAUUUUUCUUUCUAGAUCCCUGUUACCCUAUUUUAUAAUUCCCGUAUGUACAUUUACUAUUUUAUGACUUGCGAGGAUGGUUGGUUUAGUUUUUGGAAUGGUUUAGGUUGAAUUCGGAAUACUUAGUUCCUUAAUAGUAGCCUAAGGUGGCCAAGUUUGACUUGAAUUUACAUUUAAGUAAAUAACCUUGGAACCAAAAUUUGAUGGUUCCAAUAGGUUUGUAUGAUGAUUUUGGAUGUGGGCAUAUGUUCAGAUCGAGUUUUGGAUGAUCUGGGAGCAUUCCGGUGCUUAACGUUAAAAGUUGGCACCUUGAAGGUUUUAGAGUUUCUUAAAUGUGGUUUGAAGUAGACUUUGGUCCUAUCGAUGUCCGUUUGGGAUUCCGAGCCUAGGAAUAUAUUCGUAUGGUAAUUUGAGACUUGUGCGCAAAAUUUGGCAUCAUUCCGAGUUGUCUAAGUAUGAUUCGUUGCGUUCAGAGCUAGUUGAAGAAGUUUGAAGUUCAAAAGUUGAUUAAUUUGGUUUUAGGGUGCGAUUCUUGGUUUCUAUGUUAUUUUAUGUAUUCCAAGGCUUCGAGCAGGUUCGUAUUACAUUUUUGAACUUUUGGGUUCGUUUCGACAGCAUACCGGGUGGCUCGAGUGUGUUUCGGACCACCCGGAGUUGAGUCAUAAAUUGCAGAAAUUCUGCUGGUGGUUUCUUUCUUCGCGAUCGCGGACGAAGCCACGCAUUCACGAUGAAGGAAUUAGGCAAGGAAACUUUUCUUCUAUGCGUUCUGGAAAUAGGGGUCGCGAUCGUGAUGCUCUGGGGACACUGACCUUUGCGUUCAUAAUCAUUGAUUCACAUUCGCGUAGUGUAAGGCCAACUGCAGAGGAGUUAGGCUGUUAGCCUUCGCGUUCGCGUAGGGGAGCUCACGUUCGCGAAGGGUAGGUCAGGUUAGCCUUUGCGAUCAAGAGUCACUUGUCGCGUUCGCGAAGAAACCUUUCUUUGCCUUGGCAGGUUUUGCCUUCGUGAUCGCGAGGGACUUUUCGCGAUCCCGAUGAAGGACCAUUGGGCAGAAACAUGUUUUAAAAUCGGGACUUAGGCUCAUUUUCACUCAUUUCACUUUGGGUUGGCCGAUUUUGGAGCUCUUGGAGAGGGAUAUUUCACCCGGCAUUCUAUGGUAAGUGAUUUCUACCUAAUGUGAGUUUAAUACAUAGAUUUUGGGUAGAUUUUAACAUGGAAAUUGUCGAAAUUAUAGGAUUAUGUUGAAAAACUUAGGGUUUGGUAAAAAUUGGAUUAGACCUGGAAAUUGAUUAUGGAAUUGAGUAGAAAUUAUAUAUUUGAGUUUAUAAGUUCAUGGGUAACAUUAAUUUACGAAACUUUUAGGAAUCCAAACACGUGGGCUUAGGGGUGGCUUUUAGGGCCUUUCUGAAUUAGGUUGGCUAAUUACUCUAAUAGUUAAAUUAUGAAGUUUUGAGCAUAUAUUGAUUAGUUUAUAUGGCCUUUGGCUAGUUUGGAUUGGCUCGGCAUCGAUUUGAGACUAUUAGUGAGGUUAGAGAGCCGAGUUGUGAACUUGGAAGCAAGGUAAGUCUCUUGCCUAAUCUUGUAAGAGGGAAUUAUCCCCGUAGGUGCUUUAAUUUUAUUUUCUACUUUUUGUGGGUUCUACGUACGCACGAAAUAAUGAGAGUCCGUACAUAGUUAAAUUCAUGUUAUGUCAGGGUAGACUUAUGACCUUGCCAUGCAAUAAUUGUACUACUUGAACUCUACUUGUUGGUUAAAUUACUUAAAUUAUAAUUGAAAAUUGAUAGAGAUUAUGUUGAGUCGCGCUCCAUUACCUUGGGCUUUUGGCAGAAUACUUAAGUGUUAGUAGAAUCCAUGCCUAUUUUAUGUACCCAUCUCUAUGUUAUAACCAUAGUCCCGUAUUUCGAAGAGUUUCUCUAUUCUCUUGGAUCGGGCCAUAUGCCUUGGCAGGUGCUAUGAAACAGCAAUAUGGAUCGGGCCGAACAACCUCAGCAAUAUAUUUAAAAUGCAUCUAUAGUUCACGUUUGUCGGCCCUCGGUAGAGUACAUGAGUAUUAUGGAUCGGACCGUACGAUCGCGGCAUAACUCGUGCGUAAUAUCGCAAGGAGUCUGAAUAUACAUGAUAUUUCCUUCAUGACUGGAGUAUUGAUACUUAUUUGAUGGUUCUUAUUUGUUAAAAUGGCACGUAAUAAUUGGGGUCUUUAAUUUGAUAUUUGUUAAAGAAUCACUUUAUUUAUUGUUACUUAUUCCAUUGUUACUGUUGUACUUCAUGCCUAUUUAUAAUUCUUGCACAAUUCUGCACUAAUUGUGUAGGUUCUGGGGCAGGUACAUAUGGUGGCCAUUAGGGCGCACAUCCCCAUUAUUCGGAGACCUAACAGUGAGCUACUUCCCAUGCUCCAAUAUGUAGUAUCCGGAGUCUCCUCCUUGUUGUAUUUACUAUUUUUGUCUAUUUUAUUUCAGAUUGUAGUUAUAGGGAUUUUGUAAAUUCUACUAGAUAGAUCAUGCACUUGUGACACAUGAUUUUGGAAAUUACUUGUAGAUGUUUAUGGUUUUUCCUAACAUUGUUACCAUUUUAUUUUUAUGUCUUAUUUAAGCAUUAUAUCACCAUGAUCUUUUAUACUUAGUUUCUUUAUUAAUUAAAAAUUCAUGAUUUCAAAAUCAAUAAAAUGAGUAAUUAAUUUGAUAGUUCACUAUUGGCUUGCCCUAUGGCGAUGUUGGGCGCCAUCACGACCUAUAGUGGGUUUGUGAUUGUGACAACUUAUGUCAAACUUCAAAAAUAUCCAAACAAUGAAAACAUAUUCAUAAUAAUACUAGCAUCAAAAACUGACUCAAUGUCACAAUGUACUCAUGGCUUGAAUACUCAUCAUUGUAGAGAAGUCUAAUAAUGUUACCUAUCCCUCGUGAAAUCAUGUGCCCUCACAACAAAAUCAAAGUGAGUAAGUAAAAUCCAUACAUUUGAAUCUUAUGAUCAAAUAUAGCUUAAGUACUCACACAUAUCAAAAAUAAUGCUCACUCUCACAAAGAAGUCACAUGCGUGCAAUUGGUACCAUAGGUUUGCCCUUUAUGUAAACCUCUACUAAUGUAGGCUCGCUUGAUCGAAAAUCAAUUAGGACUUUUUCAUGAUUAUAAUGUGGGCUAAGAGACGGGUAGUGUCACGACCCAAACCAAUGAGCCGCGACGGGCACUCGGUACCUUACUCAACCGAGUACCAACAUAACGUAUCUUUCGUAUCAUUCCAUCAUAGGUAAAUGAACCGGAGUAAAGCAUGAGGGAAUAAACUUAUACAUAUGACAUACUGGCCUAUAAGACCAAAACGAUCAUUCAUACACUAAAUAUAGGCCGACAAGGCCAUACAAUCUUUCAUAUACAUGACAUCUGUCUACAAGCCUCAAAGAAUAAAUAAUUGUCAUAAAGGUCGGGACAGAGCCCCGCCAUACCAAACAAUAAACAUCUAAGUCAUACUGAUCAAACAAGCAAUUUCGGAGCAAAUGGAGUGCACCAACAUCUUUCGCUGAGCUGAUCGCCUACUUGGAGGACGCUCGACCUGUCUAUCGAGACAUGCGGGCAUAAAACGCAGCGUCCCUAGGCAAAAGGGACGUCAGUACAAAUAAUGUACCGAGUAUGUAAGGAAUGAAAAUCAGUAAAUAAUAGACAUCAGAGAAACAUGGAGUAAAAGACUCGACAUAUACGUCUGCAUAGCUCUGUGGACCAUUUCAUUUUUAUAACGUCAUGCAUAUGCAUAUAAAUGUCAUACCAUGCAUAGGUAUAUGCGUUCAUAACAUCAUCAAGCCUCUGAGGGCAUCCCAUCAUAUCAUUUCGGCAACUGUGGGUAAAUCAUCUAUGUAUACCAGCUAAUCAGGUGGUGGUGCGUAUAUAAUGCCGUAACCUUUUUCCCAUAUCCUAUAUACAUAUACGAUACGCGUAUAUAAUGCCAUCUGGUCAUGGGUCAAUGUAUAUGUAUAAAUGCAUGAAAUGCAUAAGAAAUAUGUUAAUAAGAUUUCUCGAAAUGUCAUAAAAAUAAUAUGCCUGUCGGAUAAACUUUAUCAAAUAUAUAAUUUUCUGAGACCCAUGAACAGAAGAUAUAAUAAUAAUUCACAUGGGGAAUCAAGAAUAUAGACACCCCUAAUAUUUCUAUGAAUAGAGUCAUUUAUGAAAGUUGCGUAUUUUGCUCAUUUCGUUUGUGUCAUUUGGACCAUGCCAAAAGAAAGAAGGGAUAGCCUUAACAUACCUGGAGUAGGAAAAAAUCUAUACGAUAUUCUUUAGAAAGGUUGCUCUGUACUCUGUUAUAAUUGUAAAAUCUCACUUUGAUUUGAAUUGUUGAAGAUCUUACGUGCUUACGUGAUAUAUGCAGAUGCAUAUAUGAAUUAUUCACGUUACCUACCAUCUUACUUACAAAGUCUUACUUACAAAAUCUUACUUACCCAUAUUACUUACAAAAUCUUAUUGUUUGAGAUGAUAUGGGCCCCACUUUAUGUGGAUGACUUAGCCAACCAUUCUUCUAAUUAUGCCACAUAGUUUGCAAACCAAAGAGUCAUUUGUCUAAGAAGUGCCUUGCUGCCACGUGGGGUGAGGGGGGAAGAUUUUAGUCUUUAUCCACUUCACUUAUUAAUUUAAUUAGGUAAUAUUUUGUUACCCGGUAAUUAAUCAAUUACCCAUACAAUUAAGAAUUUUCUCAAAUUACUUAAAAUACUACUCACUUUUAAUAUACGUUAUGUACCAUACUAUCGUGGUCAUGGGGUACCUUGUAUGGUAUUAGUCCAUAAAUGUCGGGUAUUGAAGCUCGGACCGUAUUUUAUCCAAAUCAACAACCUUCAACAAAACUUAUUUUCUUUGAUUCGUUUCCCCUUUAUCCUUCACGACACUUACUUAUCGCUUGUUAUAAAUAGCAUAAAUGCUUAUAACCUCAAGAUAAUCUCAUCCCCGAGUCUAUGUCGAUUAACUUACGACGAAAUUUUUACGUACGAAAAUGCGGAAUGUAAUAUCUCAUUUCCGAGCUUACAUCAAUUUACUUAUAGUGUACUUUCACGUACGGAAACAUGGGGUGUAACAUCAUUCCCCCCUUUGGAACAUUCGUCCUAGAAUGCUGACUGGUGCACUUAUCAUUAUCAUAACCUAUAGCUCUUGAAAAUACUUAAGUACUCUCCUUGCCAUCUAGGAAACUGUUCUGUGAAUUAAUCCAAAGGGCAGGACAUUCCCCCCUUUAGGCCUCUUUCUCACACCACGGUCUGUGGUCGGAAUUCUUCCAACCUCAUAACUCUUGCUACCUUCUGUCGUGCAGCAUGUACGACUUUUUCUUUGUAUGUGCGCCUAUGCGACUCUCUCUCCUUUUUCCUCCAGUUUUUAGCCAAUAUCUAUGCCUCACUUUGUAAGCAUAUACAGAGCUUGAUAAGAUGUCUCUCUGGCAUCUAUAGGUUUACUGAAGUUCUUUGCUUGAUAUUUUGUUGAACUUACAAAUAUUGCUAUAUCUUAUUUCAUAGAUCCGGCAUUCGUAUAACUUUACUGCAUCUAGGUAGGUCAUACUAUAUCAUAACUCUUACUUCGAUUUAUCGUUACUGAGGUCUACUACUGAACUCCAGGUUACUUUCGUUGCUUCUUAUCAUAGAUGUAUAAAUCUAUGUAUUUCAAUGCUUCCUUAUUAUUGUUCAUCUAAAGGAUGGAAUCCUUAUCUCCUCACAUACAUUGGAACUUUAUCCAUCUAUUAUCGAUUCACCUUAAUGUUGAUCCAUAAUCUAACACUGAUAACUUGACCUCUUAUGUAACACUGUCGCUAGGGCUCAUGUCUCGUCGGGGAAUAUUUCAAGUGAUUUUCCUGAUCCACUUAGCGGCGAUAUUGUACUUCAAUAACCGUACUUUAUAGUAUCCUAAUGUGACUCACUUACGUGGGUAUUUUAAUCUUGUACAAUUCAUGAAAUCCCUUCAAAUCAUCACUCAAUCGAAGGUCCAAACAUCAUCCUUCAUUUAUCACAAGUAUACCCUCAUUUUACUACCAGGGCAACAUUCCAUCUCUUUUAAAUGCUAUUAGUCUUAGACUCCUUUGAGUUCAUUCAGGCUAUACUGAGCUUUAUAUAACUGAGAUAAACCAUUAUCUCUCUUGUUUUUAUGGGCUUAAUCGUUAGGACUUAUACAUUUCUUGUCACCUCUUCACUCGCCCUUUCUUAUCCUUACUUCUGUCAUAAGACCUUGUCUCUUUACUAUACUUUAGCUUGCGACCUAUACAUAUCUAUUUAUACUACUCGCAACCUUCCUUCAACUUUCUUGCACCAUAUAUUUCCUUGUGUUAUUCUGAAAUAUCAAGCGAGAUAUUACAUUAUCUCUAACUCUUACUCUCUUGGUUGGAUCUUUCGGUACCUAGAAAUCAUAUGCUGGAAGAUAUGCUACUGACGACGCCGCUAUCAUUUCUGGAUACUGAAUCUCCGUGCUUCUAGCCUUCUAUCCGAAGUAUGGACUAUUCACAACCCUCUGUAUUUAAGUAUCUUGUACGUUGUUCACCUUUACCUUACUUACCUUAAAGUCUCGCCUCACAUCUUCUAUCUCGUUCAUGACCUCCCUUCCACAUAGGUAUAAUUCACAUCCACAACUUGAAGCUUUAUUAUAAUACUUGCACCUCUGGUGCAUAUACAAUCCGGUAGGAGCUUCAUACUGACUUCUUAUGAGGUCGGUACUUCUUCUAACUAGCUUUAUUAUAGGGCCGUUAUAGAAUAUGGUUGAUGUACUAUCUCUCUUGUAUUUAAGAGUGAUCCUGCAAUGUUCUCAAUCACGAGGUCUAAAAAAUUUUUUGUCCAAUAAUCAGACUCCUGAUUUACUGAGUUGAUGUAACUCUUUAGUUUCCUCUUCCUUCUGAUCAGCCUUUAUGUAGGCUUAAACUAUCUUCCGAUAUGCGGCUCCUGGGAUUAGUAAUUUACAUGAUGUGGGGUCUAGGGUUCAGAUCUUUACAUGAUGUGUAUAAAGCUUUGUUUGCUAAACUUUGGUGGAGAUUCAGAAUAACAAAAUCAUUAUGGUCUAAAUUUAUGUGAAACAAGUAUUGCAAGAAAGAAAUUCCUACAUUAGUGUAGUUUAGGGGAGGAUCUCAUGUGUGGAGACAGAUGUUGAAUGCAAGGGAAGAUGUAGAAUAUGAGAUUUUGUGGGAGAUAAAGAGUGGUACAACAAAUAUAUGGCAUGAAAACUGGACAUGAUUAGGGGCAUUAUACCAUGUGGUACCACCUGACUCUCAUAUGAAUAAGGACCUACAUGAAGUAGCAGAACUAAGGCAAGAAGAUAGCUGGAAUGAGGAGCUACAGGAGCAGAAUUUUCAUGAAGAUAUAGCUGAACAUAUUAUACAUAAGGUGCAAUUUGAAGGAAGUCCUGGCUACUGGGAUAGACCAUUAUGGAAACCCACUGCUUCUGGUAAGUUUACUGUGAGUAGUACUUGGCAUCUAGUGAGACAUAGAACAAACCCUAAUCCAGAAUAUAAGCACAUGUGGAUAAGGUGUUGCCUUUUAAGAUAUCAUUCUUUAACUGGAGACUUUGGAGGGGCAAACUGGCUACUGGUGAUUUAUGGAGAAGGCAAGGUUACAUAUGUGUCUCUAGGUGUUGGUGUUGUCAACCAACACAAGAGGAGGACAUUCAUAAAUGCUGUAGGGAUCAGUUUUCAACGGGUACAGUUACAUCAGGUUAUUCGGACAUGGUUAAAUGCUCCAUGUAGUCCAAACCUUAAGUCUCUAUACCAGGCAGUGCCAACAAUUGUCACAUGUGAGUUCUAGAAGAUGAGAAACACCAAUAAGAAUGAAGAAUAUGUUUCAGUCAAUAGGUUCAUACAUGAGAUCAACAAGACAAUGUACUUCUUGGCAAAGGUCAGAUACAGUUGGCUCACUGAUAUUCUAUAUCUCUGGCCAGAUAUAGUAAGGUUCUUUGAGGAGUAUAGGCCAGUGAUUGUUACUAAACGAGUGACAUGGCAAUUGUCUUAUACUGGCUAGUACAAGUGCAACACUGAUGGGGCUUCAAGAGGCAAUCCUAGUCCUAGUUCUUUUGAUUUUUGUGUGAGGAAUAGAGAAGGGGAUUUGUGUAUUCAAAGGCACAACAACUAGAUAAAACAACCAACGUUGCGGUUGAGGCAAAGGCAAUAGAAGAAAGAUUGUCCUAUUGUGUAGCUCAUGACCUACAUCCUCUUAUAUUGGAGACAGAUUCAUUGGGUAUGAAGAAGAUCAUUGAUGCAGAUUGGGAUCCUCCAUGGUGUAUUGGGGCUGAAGUUAAGAGGAUCAAGGAGAUGAAAGAGCAUUUUAAUAUGUUGUAUAAGCAUGUUCUAAGGGAGGGCACAGUAGCAGAUUAUUUAACUAACCUUGUGUUCUCUUUUGCAGGUACAAUUCAGUUUUAUUCUUUCUCUUAACUGCCAAGUGCAAGGAGGAGACUAAUCAAUCUUGAAAAGUCUCAAACUCCUAACCUUAGGGUUAGGAUUUCCAAAAGUAAAGAACCUGACUGAUGAACAUAUGUCUGACUAUAAAGCCUGUUGUUGCUACUAAUUGUUUUACCUAUUUAUUCUGUAUAGUGUUAGGUUAUUUUCCAGUGGUAUUAACAUGUCAUCAUGCUCAUUCUAGUGGUGAUCGAAUGUUAUAUGGAACUGUUAAUGCAAUCAGGCUAGAGGUUACUCAACAUGAAAGAUCACAUAGUGUUUGUAAGACUAGCUAUAGUCUACUGAACAUUCAAAUGGUGAACUCAAUCUGGGAUCCAAUGGCCUUAAAAGUUCAACUGUCUAUGCUUGGUAUUCUAAGUAUUUUCAUGACUUCUUUCAGUGGUAUUAGUAUGUGUACAUCCCCGGUCUGGAGGUGUUAUGACAGUGCUAGGUUUUGGAUUGAAAAACAGGCUAGGAGCUUUUGCAAAGGCCAUUUCUGGCAGCUCUUACUUUCUGAUAUGAACAUUUACAUGUGUUAGUUCGAUUAAUCUACAGCCUCUCCUAAGUAUAGGUAUGGUCAGCUACUUAAUGAAAAUUGGGAGUGGGAUGCUCAAACUCAAAAUCAUUGCAUGCACAAGAUGCUUGGAUGCUUGGACAGCCUCAGAAGUAGGUGUUGUUGAUUUGAGAUUCAUAUUUGCCUUGCCUUUUGGAAUGCAAAACUUGGAUCCUGGUGAGAGCGUUAGAGGUGCUACAUUGAAGUUUUGUCCUUGGCUUUUGAAUACACACAAAACCAAAUGUUGGAGACAGUCUUUUAUACAAANNNNNNNNNNNNNNNNNNNNNNNNNCGAGAUGAAAUCCUUGCAUCGCCUGCCUCUGUCUCAGUGUUUCGCUGCUUCAAUUCUUCGUGGUGUUUGGACAUAAGAAUUGUAAAAUUACCAAAAAAAAAGUAGAAAACAUUUCAAGUAAAAAUGGUAUUUGAAAAUUAGAGUUUUGUUUGGACAUGAAUAUAAUUUUGGGUUAUUUUUGAAGUUUUGUGAGUAAUUUGAGUGAAAAUUUUGAAAAAUUACUUUUUGGAGUUUUUCAAAACUUCAAAAAAAUUCAAAAAGUAUUUUCAAGUGAAAAUUGGAAAUUUUAUGAACAAACGCUGAUUUCGGAAAAAAGUGAAAAACUUUUUAUAAAAAAAAAGAAAAAUUUCUUAUGUUCAAACGGGCUAUUCAGUUCUUUAAGAUGAAGUGCUUUUUGCCUAACUUUCCUUUUCCAAUAUUUGAUUCAAUGUACUGCCUCACUUUCUUUCCUUGUUUCUUUGUAUACUUUUGUCUACAAUCAUUACCCAAUUAUGACAUCAUUAUAUUUUCAAUCAUUAAAUAAUCAUGAAUCAUUUUUGUAGAUGUAUAAAAUACAUAUAAAAUCUUUACUUUGCUCCUAAUUUCAUUUUUAAAGUACCUACACAUAAAAUAAACUCAAUUAAGUACAAAUAUAAUACAAUUUAGUAUUAAAGCAUCAAAAUAUAAGAUAAGUAAUGCACUAAAAAUAUAUAAUUAUAGUCAAACAUCAGAUAAUCAUAAACUUUGGAAAAUUUUGGAAUAUAUUGAUCCCUAUUUAUCCUUUGGGAUAACUAUUCACAAGUAUUUUGUUUGAGCAUUAUAAAUUCUUUGGCAUAACAGUUGUGUAUUUACGCGAUUAUGUUUUUUUUAUGGUUUUUACUUAGUGAUUGAAGCAAGCUUAUACUAAUUCUUAUCUUUUCCUUCUUUUGCAUGAAUACUCCAUUGGGCCUGUUGAGCUCCUUUUGGGCUCUAGCCCAGUUUGAGCAACUAGGGUGCCGUUGUUGUCGCUUCCUGCUGUCUUUUCCCGAUCCAAUAGAGCUAAUGUUGCGCCUGUCUAGUAGCACUCCAACAAGAAUGGAGUCUAGCCCCUCGGAACCUAUUUCUUAUAUUCAUUAAUGCAUGUUUGUAUUGGUGUGAUGAUUAACGUUAAACGUAUUGCACGGUUUCCUUCUUCUCUUAGUGAUUAUAUAGGAAAUUCGCUUAGGUGAAAUUGAUUAGGGAUCAAAAUAGCAGUCAACUUAAUUCGAACUUCUCGUUAUAAUUUUGUUUCAAAUUCUGCUUAAAUAAUUGGUUUAAUCCACUAACUUCAUGAGACUCUUGCAGAUUGAUUUUUCAAAAGAACAAACCUACAAACCAUUAUUUUGGAAAUUAGAAACUGCGAAAUAGGGUCUUUGGCCCAAUCAAUUUCAGUAGUCAGCAAAACUAGAAUUGGAUUUUUAAAAGGCUGUUGGGUUUUGUUUCAGCCCAUUUGAAUUUUAAAACACACAAACCCUUUCAAAUAUUUUUGGGACAUGACACCCUAGCCGGUUUCACUCAUCAAGAAAGGCCAGGUCCUAGAUAACACGAAACUUGCGAAAAAUGAUCAUUUUCAAAAAGUUAAGACUAUAAGGUACAUUUCCAAAACCAUGGCACGUGUCAAAUAAUUUCGGUCACCUUCAUCAUUAGUACCCUUAUUUAUAUUCUAAAUACAUUUUUACCUUUCAUUUAUACGUGUACUCGUGCCAUUAUUCUGGCACCAGUUGCUUCACCACCCGUUCAGCCAGCUAGAGGAAGGAGUCAGGUAGCCCUGGGUGGAGGCUAAUCAGUUAGAGGUAGAGGUCGGCCAGUGAGAGGUCGUCCUCUAGUGGAGGACAUGUUGGUGGGGCUUAGCCUCGUUUUUAUGUAUUUCGGGGUAGGCCCAAGGCAUAGUCGUCCGAUGCAGUUAUUACAGGUAUUAACUCAGUCUGUCACAGAGAUACUUCUGUGUUGUUUGAUCGGAGUUCUAGGUAUUCUUAAGUGUCUUCAUAUUUUGUAUCGCACUUGAGUAUGCCUCGUGAUUCUCUUGAUAUUUUUGUUUCUCAGUCUACACUGGUUGGAGAUUCCAUAGGAGUUGACCGGGUGUGUCGGUCUUGUGUUGUUACUAUUAAUGAUUUUGAUACUAUAGUUGAUCUUUUGUUGUAGAAUAUUAUUUUGAGUUCAUUCUUGGUAUGGAUUAGUUCUCCCCAUAUUACGCUAUCUUGGAUUGUCAUGCCAAGACUGUGACCUUAGCCAUGUCGGGGUUGCCGAGAUUAGAGUGGAGAGGGACCCUCGGGCGUUCCACUAGCAGGGUGGUUUCAUAUCUGAUAGCUUGGCAUAUGGUUGACAAGGGGUGUCUAGCGUAUUUAGCUUACAUCUGAGAUUCUAGUGCGGAGGUUUGUUCGGUGGAUUCAGUGAACUGAGGGAGUUUUCAUAGGUGUUUCCUGCACAUUUGUCGGGUAUGCCAAACGACAGAGAUAUUGACUAUUGUAUUGAUUUGGUUCCAGGCACUCAGCCUAUUUCUAUUCCACCAUACCGUAUGGCUCCAACAGAAUUGAAGAAAUCGAAGGAUCAGUUGCAGGACUUGCUUGACAAGGGAUUUAUUAGACCGAGUGUUUCACCUUGGGGUGCGCUAGUGUUGUUUGUUAAGAAGAAGGAAGGAUCGAUGAGGUUGUGCAUUAACUAUCGGCAGUUUAACAAAGUUACCAUUAAGAACAAGUAUUUGUUGCCUAGGAUUGAUGAUCUAUUUGAUCAGAUUCAGGGUGCCAAGGUGUUUUCCAAUAUUGAUUUGAGAUCUGGCUACCAUCAGGUGAAGAUUAGGGCAUCAGAUGUCCCUAAAACAACUUUUAGGACUCGGUAUGGUCAUUAUGAGUUCUUGUUGAUGUCAUUUGGUUUGACUAAUGCUCCAGCAACAUUCAUGAAUUUUAUGAACCGAGUGUUCAAGCCUUAUUUGGAUUCCUUUGUGAUUGUCUUUAUUGGUGAUAUUCUGGUUUGCUCUCGUAGUAGAGAGGAGCAUGAGUAGCACCUACGAAUUGUACUUCAGCCUUUGAAGGAUCGCCAGCUAUAUGUCAAGUUUUCAAAGUGUGAGUUCUGGUUUGACUCAGUUGCCUUCUUGUGUCAUGUUGUAUCUUCUGAUGGUAUCAAGGUAGACCCCAAGAAGAUAGAGGCAGUUCAGAAUUGGCCUAGACCUACCUCAGAUAUAAAGAUUCGGAGCUUCUUAGGUUUGGUGGGCUACUAUCACCAUUUCAUGGAGGGGUUUUCAUCUAUCUCAGCCCCAUUGACCAAGUUGACUCAGAAAUGCUCUCUUUUUAGAUGGUACAAUGAGUGUGAGGAGAGAUUUUAAAAGGUCAAGACAUCCUUGACUACAGCACCAAUGUUGGUGUUGCCCACUGGUUCGAGGUCUUACGCUGUGUAUGGUGAUGAAUCACGUAUUAGACUUGGCGCGGAUGGAAGAGUGAUUUCCUACGCAUAUCGUCAGUUGAAGGUAUCUGAGAAGAACUACCUCGUGCAUAAUUUGGAGUUAGUAGCCAUUAUUCACGUGCUCAAGAUAUGGAGGCAUUACUUAUACAACGUGCCAUGUGAGGCCUACACCGAUCAUCGAAGUUUCUAGCAUUUAUUCAAGCAAAAGGUUCUUAAUUUGAGGCAGCGGAGAUGGUUGGAUUUAUUUAUAGACUAUGAUAUCACCAUAUUGUAUCAUCUGGGGAUAGCUAAUGUAGUGGCUAAUGCCUUGAGUAGGAAGGCGGAGAGCAUGGGUAGCUUAGCAUUUAUAGCUGCAAUGGAGAGACCAUUGGUCAUAGAUGUUCAGGUUUUGGCUAAAAGGUUGGUGUGUUCUCCGAGAGGUUCGGGAGUAAUUUGAAACACUUAUUUCCUAAGUUGAGGUUUAAGGUCGGAAGAGUUGACCAAACUCAAUAUUUUGGGUAAACGAUCCCGGAAUGGUGUCUUAAAGGUUCUAAUAUGGUCGUAUGAUGAUUUUGGACUUGUACGUAUUUUUGGUUAGGGUCUCGAGUGGCCCUGUGUUGAUUCAGUGCUCCUAGUCGAAAGUUAAAAUUUUAAACUAAAGAGAAUUUGAGAUUUUUGGUUUGAUACUUGAUUAUUUGUUUUGAUAUUAUUUGUGGUAUUUCGAGCUCUUGGACAAGUUUAUAUAGGGUAAACGAACAUGUUAGGAUGAUUGGAAUGGGUUAUGGGGGGCUCGGGGUGAGUUUUGGGUUCAUUUUGGAUCAUUUUGAGCUACGUUAAAAAAUUAGAUUCUUUGGUGUAGCAACACCUGCAGUUCGUGGAUCGCACCUGCGAAUGGAGGUUCACAUCUGUGCAAGGAGUUUAGGGCAAGGAGGUUUCGCACUUGCGGUGCUUGGGGUCGCACCUGCAACCAAUCAGGUCGCACCUGCGAAAUACCUGUCAGAUUCUUUGAAGUCGAGAUUUAGCUCAUUUUCUCCAUUUUUGAGUUUUGGAAUGGAAUAAGGAGAUUUUGAAGAGGAUUUUCACUCAAAUCUUGAGAGUAGGUAAUUUUUACUUGGAUUUGAUCAUGUAUUUUAAUUUUGGAUUUCUACACCUAAAACGCGAAUUUUAAGAGUAAAAUUUUGAGUUUUUGUCCACAACUUAAGAGGGUGCAUUUUAAGAUUUUGAGUACCGAUUUGGACUCAUAUUUGAAAACCAAUUAUUUAUUUGGACUCGUGGGGUAUGGGUCACCAGAAUUAACCUUGGACUUGGGUUUUAACUAUGUGGGUCGAGGUUAACUUUCUAUUGACUUUUGAGAUUUGAUUAAAGAAUGAAGCUUUAUUGUUAGGAAUUGAUUUCUAUGACCUUAUUUGAACCUAUUAAGUAUUAUAUGGAUAGAUUUAGAACGUUUGGAGGAGAAUUUCAAAGAAAAAACGGUAUUUGAGGGUUGAAGCUAUUCCAGCAGAAGGUAAGUUUCAUGUCUAACCUUGUUAAGAGAAAUAUUUUUUGCAAAUUGGACACACUUGUUACAAGCUACAUGAUUUUGGGUGACAUAUAUACAAGGUGACGAGCGUAUAUACGUACACCAAGGCUAUACCAUAUUUUGGGUAGUUUUAGGCUUUUUCAUGAUUUGUUUGGUUAGUUGUUCUUCUUGGAUUGUGCGUUAUUAGAUUGUAUAACUAUAUCGGCCUAUUUAUUCAUGAUAUAAAUAAUGUUUUAGCUUAUGAUAUUUUAUUUGGGCAUGAUGGGCUAUUUUUGAGAUUGUUGAUAUACUUGAUUUAGUCGUAGUCAUAAUUUAUAUCAUGAGCACACAUCUACAUUUUUAUUUAUUAUGUCCUUGAGCAUCUUAUUAUUUAUUUCUUGAGCAUAUGCAUACAUCCUUAGAGAUGGAGAUCUUGACACAUAUUGAUACGGUUAUGGCACAUUGGGACAUUAUGAGCGGAUUGAUAUUGUUAUGGCACGAUGGUUCAUGUCAUGUGGUUAUUAUGAUAUUGUUAUGUUAUGGCACGAUGUGUUUCUAUGCCGUGCUUGGAUAUGGAUAUGUUCCCUCCGAAGUUAGGUGAUUACCUAUGUUACAUUAGGCUCUUUGAGCGCAAGUGAUACACGUAUCGAGUUAGAGCACAUGGGAUGUGCUGGAUCAUAUUGGAGCACAUGAGAUGUGUUGGAUAUUGGUUAUGAUUGAGUCUUGAGCAUGCAUGAUUAUCCUAGACUCAUCUAGAAGUAUUCAUAUAGAUGCUACUUGGUGCAUAUCAUUUUUAUGUGCAAACAUGUAUAUUGAAUUAUGCUUUGGUUAUCUUGUUUUAGAAGUAUGCUUAUCCUAUCUCUUAUUUGUACACCUUGAUGCUAUAUUUGAUGUUCUUGGCUAAAUUCUACAUUUUCAUGCCAUUAUGAACUGCUUAGGUUGUGAAGGUGAGUAUUAUACUUUUGUUAAAAUUUUGCCACAACUUUUUCGAGAUUAGACGUAAUACUUACUGAGUACACAUUGUAAUUAUUCUCAUACUAUACUUCUGUAUAUUUUUGUACAAAUAUUGAGACUGGACCCAGCGAUGUUCAGGAAGGUGUUUAGUAGUUACAUCUCGAAAAUUUCGUGGUGAGCUGUCAUACUUGAUCCGCAACCCAAAAUCCCCUUCUUUCUUUUUAUGUUGUCUAUCGUAUUCUAGACAAUACUCUUGUAUUGUGAGGCUCAUUUGUGUUUCGUCUUAGUAGCUCAUGACUUUGUACUACCAAAUUUUGGUAGUUGUUGGAUUUUUUCGCAUUUGGUAUUAUUAAAUUGAGAUGUAUUUAUGCUUUAUUUACGUUAUGUCCAAAUUUUGGAUCGUGACAAUGCACUUGAUGUGAUUCUAUUUCCCUUGGGUAUAGAUUCCAUUGCUAGAAUUUCUCAAUCACUAGCAAUAUUGUUCUUGAUCUCCGUUUUCAAAAUAAUUCAAGACCAUUAAUAUCUAUCCAGUUUAGGGUUGCAAAUAAAUUGUAAUAUUCCUAGAAUAAUUUUAAAUUAAUUUAAUUAAUCUCGUAAUUAACCUCAAAUAUUUUUAUCUGAAUGUCCCAAACUUGAGAGUUUUUUCUAAGAUCAACCAAGAAUGAUGGUAGAAACAAUUGUGAGCUCAACAAAUAAAUUCAAUAAAGGUGCAGUCAAAUAAAUAGAAUAUGAUAUCAAGAAUUCAAACGAGUUAUUCAAACUCUCUCAACAAAGGGUUCAUCAAAAUCCUAGUAAUGGAAAAUUAUCCUACAAUCGUUCUAGAGAUAAAAUCCAAUGUAUAAAAUAAAGUAGAACCCAUAAAAGAAGAAAAAUCCAGGAAAAGCUCUUUAAUCUUGUGUUACUCUUCCUACCUUGCCUUUGCGUCAACAAUGGAGUCUCUUCUUUUCGAAGUCGAGAUGGGAGCUGAAAAACAGGUAAGAAGAUUUUAUAUCAGUUCAAGAUCGUAUGGACAAUUCUACCCUUCAAUGUUAUGCGCCAAAAUUGAAUUGUCAGGCUUCCAUGUGUUUUCUCACGUGUCGUAUACUUGUUUGAGCUUUUCAAAGGAACUGUCACAACCCAAAAUUCCAAUCAAUCGGAGUUGUGAUGGCGCCUAACACCGCUUGAUAGGCAAGCCAACACACAGCAGUAAAAUACAAAAGAACUGCAAUAAAUGCCUAACAACAGGAUACUAACAUAGCGUAAAAGUAAUUCUGAAAUAAACAUGAUAAGUCUAAAACCAACAUCUAACGCAAACCAUCCCAAGAUGUGCGAACAUGAGCUUCUAGAGUUACUAAAUACAUUGUCUUGAAAGAAGCGCAACAUUGUACGAAAGAUAGAAACAUUACAAUAGAAAUAAGAAGAUGACUCUUAGGCCUACGAAUGGAAUGCAGCUCUACCUCGAAUCACCUGCCCGAUAUCCGCUAAGAACCUCUCGGGACUUCGCUGGUACCGAUGUGCGAAUCUGCACAAGAAGUGCAGAAGUGUAGCAUGAGUACAACCGACUCAAUGUACUUAGUAAGUUGAGCCUAACCCCAGCGGGGUAGUGAUAAGACAAGACACCUUAAUAAACCGAUGCAGUUAUAUAUCAAGAAGUAUGAAAUAAUAGAUAAAGCAUCAAAUAUAACAACGAGGUAAUGACAAGUAAAAUGGAUAACAAGUACACAAGUAAAGGGGCAUAAAACGAAAACAUAAAGUAAAGUGUCACAGAGUGAGCCCCCUCCAAAAGUAAAUAACGUAAACACAAAGCCAAGUCCACAUUCCAAAUAUCAAAGUAAAGAGCAAUGAAAUUAACAAAAUUGCACAGCAUCACCCUUCGUGUUUUUACUCUCAUCCUCAUAUUAUAUUGUAAAAAUAAUUGCACGGUAUCACCCUUCGUACUUUUACUCUCAUCCUUACAUAAUAAAAUACUAACAAGCACGGAAACACCCUUCUUGCAUGUCCUCACGUUCACUCAAGCAAUAAUAUCAAUAUAUAAAUAAGGCGCGGAAACAAUCUUCAUGCACAUUCACUCUUCCUCACAAGCACGGCAACACCCUUCGUGCAUUUCACUCUUCCUCACCAAGCAAUCACACACAUCACAUUACCAAGCAAGGUAGGAAGCAAAUUUAGCAUCAACCAUAGUAUUUGAACACAACUCGUCACAUGAGAAUCUUCCAACAAUUAGCAUCAACAACCAAUCAACUAUUCAACAAUCUCAGCACCAAUAUCUCGAUAAUCUCAACAUAGAAGAGUAACAUGAAUACAAGAAAUUAAAGAAUUAAAUAAUAUAUCUAUAGUAUGGAAAACAUGAUACACAAAUAACAUGGCACAAAUAGGGAUAAUUCUACCUGCAUGCUUAUCCCAUGGCCAAUGCAUAUACACUUUUCACCUUGCAUAUACGCCUCCAAACACAUAGAUCACACAGCAAAUUGACUCGAUUCUACCCAAUUUUCCUUAAAUCAAGGUUAACAAGACACUUAUCUCUUUUUAGGAACACAAUAAACAAUCCAACACGGCUUUUCCUUUAGAACAAGCCUCCAAACCAAUCGAAUCUAGUCAAAUAUUAUUCAAACAAGUUAAAACAAGCUUUAUAAACUACCCUCGAAUGAAAAAGGUUCAAUCUUUAACAUAAGUGAACAAGUCAACCCGGACUCACGUGGUCGAAAUUCAUAAUUAAGACCAAAUCUUGAUUACCUAUUCACCCCUCGAGCCCGGAUAUGUAAUUUAUUUCAAAAUUAGACCUCAAUUUGAGGUAUAAAUCUACAGCGACCCGAUCGGCCAUUUUGGACAUUGGCAUAUCGUUCGGCGAUUUGAGGUCUUGAGUAGCUUUAUAUGAUGUAUUACGAAUUACGUGUAUGAUCAAUUUUCGUCUUCGAGUUGUUCGGAAUUGAUUUUAGAGAAUGAUUCUUAAAUAGGAACCUUUAAAUUAGAAAAGUUGACCAAGUUUGGCUUUUGUAUAUUUGAUCGGAGUUUUGACUGUACCGUUAGGUAGGAACGGUGAUUUUUUUUAUUUUUUUUUAUAAAACCACUAGGCUUUGUACCUAGGGCUAGUUUUUAUAAAUAUGAAACCAAUAUUUACACCAUCGGAGGGGGACAGAACCUUACUUCCAAACCUAUGGUGGAUAAUCAAUUGAUAGUUUAAAAAAAGACCCUCAAUUGAAUCAUGUACAAUAAGUGAAUUUAGACCUAUAAGAUGGUACCAUAUGCCUAUCCAUAUUGGGUAAGCAAAUGGACUCCAAAAAUAAGAGUAACCUAGGUCAACUGCGCAAAAAAUUUGGAUAGACUCUUUCCACUUAUAGGAGGAACUAUAUCUAAAGUUUGGACAAAUUAUCCCAAAUGAAGUGACAAUAAAAGAAUAUGCAUCCAAGAAUGGGGUUAGUUCUAUAACACCAGGAACCUAUCUUCAUCAUAGCUUUAGCAUUGCCAACAAGGAAAGUCGGGUUGAAGAGAAGCAUAUAGAUGUCCAAAAGAUGAAGAACAAUGAGUUGUCUGUGUUUUGUGUCCAUGACAGAAGAGAUGGAGCACUGCAUUGGUGGUUGUGACUGGCUGUUGUAGAGACUCUGAUGUGCCCAUAACCAGUUCUCAAUAGUGUGUUCAUAUGGCAUGUGAACCAGAGCACUGAUGAGUCCAUGAGAUAUUGCUGAAACUAUUGUCCUGAUGUAGUGGUUUUUUCAUGUAUCAUUGUUGUUUGAAUGUGAUGUGUGUGUUUGUAUUACAUGAUCAGAAGGGUAGGUCCAAGAACUUUGAUGCACUCAUAACAGACUGAGCAUCUGGGAUGUUGAUACCACACAUUGAGAGUGAGCGGUUCAGAGUUCUAUACCUAGUUAAUGUACCUACAAAAAACAACAAACAAGUUAGUAUUAAAAGAGUACCAUUGCCCCUUUUUCUGGGAAGAAAAACUAUGGCACUACAGUUAGUGAUGCAGGGGUGCUGCAAGCUUUGGGCAUUACUGCCCUGAGACCUUUUGUUGAUCAAAUAUGGCAAUGCUCUCAGGUUCUUGUGGAUUCUGAGAGUUGGUCAAGGUUGUAGGUUGCAGCUGGGGAGACGAGGAAUGGUACUGAAGAUUGCAUGGUGAUUUGGUAGUAACCGAUAGCCUAUGUGAGAGCAUAAUUGAGUUUAACCCCAAUUUAGAAAAUGGAGCUAUGGAUUUUUAGGCUCUCUAAUAUAGUUUCUAGGAGGAUCAGUUAGAUAUUUUGGAGUUGCCAUUCUGUUUCUACCAUGUUCAAAGAAUAAAUAUGGGCACAUAAUAUUGACUAGCAAUUUCCAACUGCAUUGCUUUGGGCAUGAUAGGUUGUGUGUGUCUGAGGAUUGGCAAUGUUUGCACCCUUGAUUAACCCUCAGUGGAAUGAGUAUUGAAAAUGUUAAUACCACACAAUGAGUGUAUAUCAAGAGGUGGAGGAGAUCAUAAGAAAUAGUACCUUCAAAAUAGAAAACGGAGUUAGUGAAAUAACAGGGUCUUUUCUUAUGAUUAUGAGUGUGUGUUCUCAGGUUCUUGUAUCUUCUGAGAACUUUUGGGAAGAGGGAUAUGUUGCCAAUGAGAAAGUGAAGUAGAUGAUCCUGAUGGAGGGUAUAAUUACUUCUAUAGUUAUGAAAGAGUGUAGGUGGGUGGAAGAUGUGGGGUUGAGAUGAAGGUUGUGUGUUCUUGUUGGGAUUUUGUGGUGAUAAUUGUGGGUGUGAUGAGUUGAGUUUCAUGGACUGAGUGUAUACUGGAUGUAAAUGGUUCAAGUAGCUGCUCAUCCUGUGGCCUUUAAGGUUUAGAAUUAGUUUAUGAUGGUCAAGUGAUGUGGUGUGAUGUGUAUGCCAAAUGGCAAACCUAGUGGUUUCUAAUCUUUUUCAUCUCUAUUAGAGAAAGGCUUGGCUUAAAACACUGGCCUUUUCCCAGCAGAUAGAGCAUCAUGGAUUCUAAUACAAUACACUUCGAAAGGUCAAGUGAAUUAAGUCAGCUCAAACCUGCAAAAAAGAAGAUAAAGUUAGUGAGGAGGUCUGUUACUGUAUCAUUUUCCCAGUGGGUUUGAGCAUAUUUCAUUUCUUGCAUAAAGCUGUGAAUGGUGAUUUUGGAUUUGGACGUAUGCCCGAAUUUGCAAUUAGAUGAUUCUAGAAGGUUUUGGCGCAAACUAGUGAAAGUUGACAAUUUGAAGGUUUGAAAAGUUCAUAGGUUUGACCGGGAAUUAACUUUGAUGUUAUAAGGUUCGGAGUGAGGUUCCGGGAGUUGGAAGAGGUUCGUUAUGUCAUUUGAAACGUGUGUGCAAAAUUUGAGGUCAUUCCGAGUUGAUUUGAUAUGGUUCGGCGCGAGUUUUGGAAGUUGAAAGUUCAAAAGUUCAUUAAGUUUGAUUUGAGGUGCGAUUCGUGGUUUUGAUGUUGCUAUAUGGGAUUUGAGGCAUCGAGUAGGUCCGUAUUAUGUUUUGGUACUUAUUGGUAUGUUCGGACAGGAUUUUUAGGGGCUCGGGUGAGUUUCGAAAAGGAUUGGGUGGUGUUGCGUUCGUUUUUUUUGUUUCGUCGUCGUUUCUUCAAGCAUAAAUGGUACCACAUUAAGAAAAUAAGAUCCAAAUUCUAUUUUGAUUGAAGCAUUAGAUCAUUAUCGUAAUUACUAGGGCUAUAGCAAAAUGAAUCCUCGAAUUUGGACAUCUUAAGAAGGAGUUAUGCCCAUUUUAGUGCCCGAGAAGUUAGUUGUUGUUGGUGCUUCGCAGAUGCGAAGUGAGGUCCGCAUCUACGAUCAUGCAGGNNNNNNNNNNNNNNNNNNNNNNNNNNNNNNNNNNNNNNNNNNNNNNNNNNNNNNNNNNNNNNNNNNNNNNNNNNNNNNNNNNNNNNNNNNNNNNNNNNNNNNNNNNNNNNNNNNNNNNNNNNNNNNNNNNNNNNNNNNNNNNNNNNNNNNNNNNNNNNNNNNNNNNNNNNNNNNNNNNNNNNNNNNNNNNNNNNNNNNNNNNNNNNNNNNNNNNNNNNNNNNNNNNNNNNNNNNNNNNNNNNNNNNNNNNNNNNNNNNNNNNNNNNNNNNNNNNNNNNNNNNNNNNNNNNNNNNNNNNNNNNNNNNNNNNNNNNNNNNNNNNNNNNNNNNNNNNNNNNNNNNNNNNNNNNNNNNNNNNNNNNNNNNNNNNNNNNNNNNNNNNNNNNNNNNNNNNNNNNNNNNNNNNNNNNNNNNNNNNNNNNNNNNNNNNNNNNNNNNNNNNNNNNNNNNNNNNNNNNNNNNNNNNNNNNNNNNNNNNNNNNNNNNNNNNNNNNNNNNNNNNNNNNNNNNNNNNNNNNNNNNNNNNNNNNNNNNNNNNNNNNNNNNNNNNNNNNNNNNNNNNNNNNNNNNNNNNNNNNNNNNNNNNNNNNNNNNNNNNNNNNNNNNNNNNNNNNNNNNNNNNNNNNNNNNNNNNNNNNNNNNNNNNNNNNNNNNNNNNNNNNNNNNNNNNNNNNNNNNNNNNNNNNNNNNNNNNNNNNNNNNNNNNNNNNNNNNNNNNNNNNNNNNNNNNNNNNNNNNNNNNNNNNNNNNNNNNNNNNNNNNNNNNNNNNNNNNNNNNNNNNNNNNNNNNNNNNNNNNNNNNNNNNNNNNNNNNNNNNNNNNNNNNNNNNNNNNNNNNNNNNNNNNNNNNNNNNNNNNNNNNNNNNNNNNNNNNNNNNNNNNNNNNNNNNNNNNNNNNNNNNNNNNNNNNNNNNNNNNNNNNNNNNNNNNNNNNNNNNNNNNNNNNNNNNNNNNNNNNNNNNNNNNNNNNNNNNNNNNNNNNNNNNNNNNNNNNNNNNNNNNNNNNNNNNNNNNNNNNNNNNNNNNNNNNNNNNNNNNNNNNNNNNNNNNNNNNNNNNNNNNNNNNNNNNNNUUUGAUCGGUUUUUAAAAUUUAAAACCAAAACGAAACCAAACCUAAAAAUAUCGGUUUUUUGGUCGAUUUGGUUUGAUUUUCGGUUAGGUUCGGUUUUUCGGGUUUUUAUGAACACCCCUACAUGCAAGUGCAAAAAGUGGUCCACAAAAACGGAAAUGAUAGCAAGAAACCGCAGGUGCGGCUUUUUGGGCGCAAAAGCAGAAAUUCCUAUGUAUAAAAAAAUCAGACUGCGUUCAUUUGGUAUUUUGAGCAUAUCUUGCAUUCUAGAGCUCCGAUUGAGGUGCUUUUCGCGGCGUUCUUCUUAUCUUUUCAGGGGGUCAGUAUAUAACCUUAAUUUUAGUAUUUUAAUAUGAUUACCCUAGUUUAUUUAUGAAUUAAUCCAAGUUUUGAAUGGAGAAUUGUGGAUUUUUUUAUCAAAAACUUUUUCAAAGAGAAUAAUCUAGUCUUGAACAUCGUUUCGGAGUCAGAAUUAGAUGAAAUUAGUAUGGUUGGACUCGUAUUCAAAUAGUUUGUCAGAAUUUGUAAGUCUUGUCGGGUUCCAAGCUGCGAGUCUGGGUUGACUUUUUGGUUGACUUUGAGUUCUUGAUUAAAGAUUCGACAUUUAUCUCUUGGGUUUGUUUCCUUAGGCAUUAUUUGAUGUUAUUGAGUUGCUUUUAGCUAGUUUUCACCCGUUUGAAGGUUGAUUCAUGUGGGAUUGCAUUUCUAGAGUAUUGUUUGGCUUGUUAGAUAUUUGAUUUGGCUUGUUCUAGGUAAGUAAGAUAUCUAAACUUGGAUUUAAGGGUAAUUAUCCCUGAGAACUAUGAUAUUUGAGAUGUGUUCGGGGUGACGCACGCGCUAGGUGAUGGGCGUGUGUGCGUGCAUCAAGGUAUUCAUGAUCCUGGUAGUUCGUAGGCUAUUAUGUGCCUUAUUUUGAUAUCAUGCUUCUUUGAUAUCAUGUUUUUCUCAUUUGAAUGACUACGUAAGUUAUUAUUUAUGCUAGAAAUCAUGUCUACUCUAUCUGCUUAGUUGUUUGAGACAUGUUAGGGCUAUUUUUGCUAUGUUGAGCUAUUUGCCUUAACUGUAUUCAUACAUUACAGUCAUGAUAGUUACAUCUGCAUAUUAUAUCUUUGUCUCUUUGCACUUUUGAUAUGUUGUUUCACAUGUUAUUGAUGUCCUUGUACGUGACACGAGUUUGAGUUGUAUUUAAGGCAUAUUGUGAUAUUUCGGGUUAUAUAAUUAGAUUAUGUUUCUGUGAGCUAUGAGCCUGUAACGACUCAGCCAGUCAUUUCGAGAGUUAUAGCCCCGUUUCCCCCAUUUCUGCUUCUUUCUGUGUCCUUCAGCUAUAUUGUGUUAUACCUGGUUAGUUUGUUCGGGUCCGAAGUGGUUUCGGAGUUGAUUGAGACACUUAGUCUCUUAAGUAGAAGCUUAAGUUAGAAAAGUCAACCGGAUGUUGACUUAUGUAUAAACGGUCUUGGAUUGGAAUUUGUAUGGUUCUAUUAGCUCCGUUAGGUGAUUUUGGACUUAGGAGCGCAUCCGGAAUGUGAAUUGGAGGUCCGUAGUGGAAUUAGGCUUGAAUUGGCGAAAGUUGGAAGUUGGGUGAUUUCGGUCGGCAGUGGAAAAUUCAUAUCGGGGUCGGAAUGGAUUUCCCAAAGUUGGAGUAGGUUCAUGGUGUCAUUUGUAACGGGUGUGUAAAAUUUGAGGUCAUUCGGAUGUGGUUCGGUAGGUUUCAGUGUCAUUUGUGAAAUUCGGAUGUUUAGAAGUUCUUAGGCUUGCAUCCGAGGGUAAUUUGAUGUUUUGAUGUUGUUUUGAGUGAUUCGAAGGCUCGACUAAGUUUGUAUGUUGAUAUAUGACUUGUUGGUAUGGUUAGUUGAGGUCCCGAGGGGCUCGGAGUGAUUCCGUGUGCUUAACGGAUUGGUUGAAGUUGGAAAAUGCAGCUGAAGCUAUUGCUACUGGUAUUUCCGCACCUGCGAAGGGCGAGCCCGCAGGUGCGAGACCUGGGGCGCAGAUGCGGAAGGGAAGGACAUGACUGGCUUUGCAGAUGCGGAGAAUUUUGCGCAGGUGCGAAAGGUUGGCCGCAGAUGCGGAACCUGGGAUCUUGAGUGAGUUCCGCAACUGCGAUUGAAAUUUCCCAGGUGUGGCGUCGCAGAAGCGGAAAAAGGGGCCGCAGGUGAGAUAUUGCUGGGUAAAAAAGCCCCAGAUCGUGGUUUUGUCUUCAUUUUUCAAUUUUUGGAUUUGAGAAACUCAGGAGAGGCGAUUUUUCGAAAGUUUUCAAAGAGCAAUGUUGGGGUAAGUGAUUCUAACCCAUAAUGGUAUAAAUUUCGUGAAUCUAUAGCUUGUUCAUUAUUAAUUAGGAGUUUAAAGUGAAUAGGGUGUUAGGGCUUGGGAUUUUAGAGAGUUUAAAUUAAGGAUUUGAGAGACCAAAUGAUUUCGGAUUUGGAUAAAUUUUGUAUGUAUGGACUCAUGAGUGAAUGGGCUAUCUAGUUUUGUAAAUUUUGUCAGAUUUCGAGACGUGGUCCCGGGGGCCAGGCUUGAACCAAUUUCGGGUUUUGAGUCUAAUUUGGUAAUUUUCAUAUGGAAUUGAUUCCUUUAGCCCAUAUUGAUAUUGUAUUACUUGUGGCUAGAUUCGGAAUGUUCGGAGGACGAAUUAAGAGGCAAGGGCAUUUCGGAGUAGGACUUUGCUUGAAUUGAGGUAAGUAACGCUUUCAAACUUGGUUCUGAGGGUUCGAAACCCCAAGUUAUGUGUUAUGUGAUUGGUAUUGAGGUGACGCACACGUCAAGUGACGGGCGUGCGGGCGUGCACCGUGAGAAUUAUGACCUGGGUGAUUCCAUGGCACCGUUUAGUGACUCUAUCCUGUUGAUAUCCAUGUUUUCAUCAUGAUAUAAAGUAGUUGAACUGUAAAUCAUGCUAGAUAUCAUGUUUAGGCUUUGUGUCGGUAUUGUUUAUACCCGUAGCGGUCGAUCUCAGUUAAUUAUUGAUUCAUCAUAUCAUUGUUCUUGGUUGUUUCCAUGACAUUGUGAGCCCGUGGUGAGACUAGAGAGGUUGAUGACUAAGUAAGGCCGAGUGCCUGGGUAUGAAUGACAGUUAUGGGAUCGGGAUGCACGCCGCAGUGGGAUCGGGAUGCACGCCGCAGGGAUCUUUCGUGUUGUUCAUUUGUGGGAUGAAGUAGAUUCUUAUGUCUUGCUGAUGAGUUAUGACCAUAGUAGUUAUGACCAUUUUAGUGCGUAGUGAAAUGCCAGUUUGAGGCUAAGUAGGUGGGUUAUCUCUUGUGGGGUGGUCUACGAAUGUGUGAUCCUUAUGAUGAUUUUGUGGGGAGUUUCUUUCAACCAGUGGGUUAUAUGUGUUGCAAUUUGAGUUUGGAUCGCUUGAGGAAGUUGGCUUGACUAUCACGAGAACGAAUGUGAGCUUAGCAGAUGAUUUGAGGUAUUUUAUGAUUUGUGUUACAUGAGCUUACGAAUGAUUUUGUUGAAUUACAGUGCGGGAUUAUGGCAGUAAUGGAGUAAGGGAACUGUGGGUUAGCGGAUGUUGGGUUCUAUGGCUUUGAGCUAAUUGGUGCAGUCUGCUCUUGACGAUCAGGUUGCAUGGUUAUGUGUUACAUUAGUUUUGGCAUGAGGCAUAUUUGUGGAUCAGUUAUGACUUGAAGAGGGUUUUUUAAAGGAUGUCGUAAGGAAAAUUAUGAAUGCAUGAUGAAUUACACUUCACAGAUAUAUGGAAAUCUAUGAGUGAUUCGGGUUUGUUAUUCGUGGUGGUGUUAGUAUGCAGAGAGUAGGGAUUCACUCGGGUGCUUAGGGAUGUGGGUUACUUCUGGAGGUAUUUGUGUGUUAAUGAAGUACAAGUUGUUUGGCUCGUAUCAACAGUGCGCUGGGGAUUUGAACAGAGUGGACGACUUCCGAGAAAAUUCUAAUGAGUUCAAGCUUCAUAUGUGGUAUUUGAGGAUUUCCCGGAUUUGUAUGUGGCUAAGAGCUGAGAUUUGCAUUGGAAGGUGUCGUGACUCGUGGUAUUUCUAUAUCAUUUUGGAUUCUACAUUUCAGUAUCAGAGAGGUUAAGGAAACAACUUCAGAUUCAUAGAAGGAUCACCUUGAAAUACCACAUAACAUCAUCAACAAGCCACCCUUAUGUUGUUGCGUGAGCAUCACAUUAAAAUAUUUUCCCUUAUAUUGCUACACGCACAUAAGCCCCCUUAUCUCGCCGCAUGCGCAUCAAUAAACAACACCAUUAUGCCGCCACAUGCACAUCUCGCUACCCUUAUACUCCACACCACAAUAAUCAACACGUACAAUAAGCCCACAUAGGCCACAAUAUCACAAAAGCAACAAUAUCCCCAAAUCACAUCAAGAUAUAGCCCACAGCUCACAACAAGAUACAAUAACAUGACAAACAUAUAAGGGUGCGGGGAAUAUUCAACAUAAGGCAUGUUCAUAUAGCAAACAACCCCAAUUCAAGGUAUAUUAAUAGACUAAGGUCUAAUCCUGCCUCAAAUCACACAUACGCCCGUGACAUACUCAUCAUGUCAUGUACACAUCGUUUCGCAUAGCACAAAUAAUGCAAAUUAAACCAAAUUCUAAGGGGUGAUUUUCCCACACAAAGUUAGACAAGAUAUUUACCUCAAAUAGCCCCGAUCAAUACUCUAAAACUGCUUUUGAUUUCAAAUUCACCUCCGCACGUCUCAAAUCUAACAAAAACGACUUAAUAAUAUCAAACGAUACAAGAGAAAACAAUUUCAAUUGAUAAAAUUAAUAUCUUUACACAUUUUCAAAAAAUUCAAUAAAGGUCAACCCCGGGUCUGCCCGAUCAAAACCCGAGUCGAGAGGUAGAUCUCGACUAUCCACAACCCUACGAGUCCAAAUAUAUGUUUGAUUUUCAAAUCCGAGUCCAAAUCGAUUCUCAAAUCUCAAAUUUUUAUUUUUCAAAACAUAAUCAAAGAUCCCCAAAAUAUCCUUUCAAAUUUCAUGAUUUUGAUGUUAAAAUUCAUAAAUAAUCAUGUUAUAAUAUCAAAAUUGAGUCAAUAUCACUUACCGAAUAGCUUUGUAUGAAAAUUCCCUCCUAAAAUUGCCUCCCACCGAAUCUAGGGCUCAAAAUUUGAUAAAAUGAAACUAAGUCCCGAAAUUCAAUCUUUUAACCUAGUCGUAGAUGUCGCAUUUGCAACUUGAGGUUCGCAAAUGCGACACAAGGAUCGCAAAAGCGAACCCUGUCAGACCCCAGGGAUAUCGCAAUAGCAACCUAAACAUAUCAAAUGUGAUGUCAGCCCCUUCGUAAAAGCGACAUGUCCCCAGCCCAGACCCAUUCCGCAUUUGCGAAGCCUGACAUCCAUUUUCCCCCCUUCACAAAUGCGAUAGCUCCUUCAAAAAUGUGGUAUUCACAAAUGUGAACUGGUGCUCGCAUUUGCAACACACUCGAAACAUUUUGAAACAUUUUUGAAACAAGUCCAAAUUCUAAAACAUUUUUGAAACACACUCGAAAAAUUAUUUUGAGGCUCGGAUGUAUUUUGAUUUUCUUCUAGAUACGAGAACGGGAACCGCUGUGCGAUUACAGUAGCUCAACUCAUCGUUGUCCAAAGGUUAUUUGUUUAUCACGUUCUUGUCUUUACCUUUCCGAUGUUUAUCAUCGCCGCCUCGUUAUUUCGGAUACGGCUCGGAGGGACAAUCGAAAGGUUGUGGCCUAAAUAACUCAAGAGGUUAUUUUUUCAUCGGCCUCAAAAUCAACAGUGUAAUAUCGUUCAACAUGUACAGCACAGUAACCAAGCAUCCUUUUCCCAAAUGAGGCACCAUAUGUAAAACAACCAACAGUAACAAAGGUGUUACCACAGGUAAAACAACCAAAUGAGGCACCAUAGGUAAAACAACCAACAGUAACAAAGGUGUUACCAUAUGAAUCUCAAAGUUAAGGUCCAAAAUGCUGCUAUAUGUGGAAACAAGUUCCCGAGCAUUGACGGCAAAGCAGACGGACGGCCACCUAAAAAAAAAGCCAACAGAAAUGCAAAGAAUUAAAAUCUGAGUGUAGUAGAGAACUAAAAUCCAAAUCUGGAUGCAUUUAAAAUAUUUCUGGUGGUCGAAAGAACUAAAACAUAAGCCACAACAGUCAAACAUCAAGGCGGCGAAACAGUAACCGGAAAACACAUAAGUCAUCGGAGUUUUGAGUUUCCGGCUAGAUUUAGAGAAAAGAAAGGCCAUAAUCACAUACCACAAUUAACGUCCGGAGACGGAGUUGCUACCAUGGCGAUAAACACCGAAACAACACUAAAGUACAAACAAAGUCGCUGGCCAAUUUUCCGGCCAAACUAAAGGUCGCCAGAAAUUUAUGUCUGGGUAGAGAUGGAAGGUCGCCGGAAAAAAGCUCUACCCAACCACAAACAAAGGCAGCAACACAUGCCGCAUAGAAAACAAUCACUGCUUAUACAGCGGCUGAGCCAAGGGCGUUGCCACAACGACGUUAACGCCGGAACGACCAUAGCAGAGCAACAAACGAGCAGCUACAACUCAGCAUUAUCUGGGAAACAUUUUUGGGACACAGAUCUUCAUGGAUCUGGGAUUAACCCAUGGACAAAAUGAAAGAAGAAAUGGGGAGAAUGGGAGAAAAUGGAGCAGCAGUAAUCUGACCGGAGCUUUUACCGGCAGAUCUCAAGCUUUUACUUGUCUGGCAUCAUCGUCGUCCGCUACUACUCUUCGCCAGUGUUGGUCAGUGAUGUAGGGGAAACAAAUGAAAGAGAAGAGAGAGUGGGGGGUUUUUGGGAGAGUGGUCGCAGUCCAUGGUGUGUCCGGACUUUGGCCAGUGUCGUCCGCACGCUUGAGAGAGAACAAAGAAAGCUUGGGCGGCUGCCCAUUUUUUUGAAGAGAAAAGUGGCCAAUAAUUAGGCCCCUUCUAAAAUCUGACAUCUCCACCUUUUAUUGUGUUGUGUGUGAUCAUU
rnacentral:lncRNA from 1 species